rnacentral:lncRNA from 1 species
AGACGACGAAGAGUGGCCAGUGGCAUCAACAUCAACUUCAUCAUCAAAGGGGUUGGUGUUGGUCAAAGUCUUCUUAGAGGAAUUAUACUUUUUAUCGUUCGUCUCUUCAUCAGAAUCAAAGGGGUUAUGGGCAUGGCCAACAGAACUAGGUUUAGCAUCUCUCAGAGGAGUUUUCUUUGAACCAAACAUCCUCUCUCAAUCUCUCUCUAAAAAAACAGUGAUCUUGUGUAUCAAUUUGGUCCUGGAACUUCAAAACAAGCAAAAAUCCAAAGAUCAAAUUCAAGUUCUUUAGCAUAAACCCUCCACUAAAAAUUGAAUUUUGAAAUUAAGAUGAAUCCAAAUUCAUAUCAAUUAAAGUGGAAUUAUGUAAAUUGAAGUUCAAAGAAAUGUAUAAUCGCAGAACUGAAAGUGAAAACUAGAUAAGAAUGAUAAAAAGAAAGGCCAGAACAGAACAUAGUUGUAGAAAGAGAAAAAAAGGUACCUGAUGAUGAAAAAAAUGUAAUUACACGAAGGAAGGAGGGAAGUAUAGACAACGAAUAUGAGGCUAAGAGGGUUGGAUGGUUUCAACGCGGAAGCUCUGCAAAAUCCCGUUGAAAAUUCACGCGAUUGCUCACCGCUGAUGUAUGCGCUCGUUUGAAUUAUUAUGACAGAGUUGCCAGCGAUGACAUUUUCUUUAAAUCAUCAAUAUUAUAUUAUUACUAGUCACUAACCCGUGCGUACUCACAGGUUGCUCGAUUAACCAAACCUAAAAGAUUGAUGUUCAUGUGAAUUUGAAACCUGUACAUACGUAUGGGGUCACUUGAUUUAGGGAUUUCAAAGGUUGAUGUUUAUGCGAAUUUAGAACUUGUGCAUACACAUAGAUCAUUAAGAAAACUUGAUGUUCAUGCAAAACAAUUGUUUCACAUGAUAAAAUUAACAAAAUAAAUGUUUAAAACUAAAAGAGUUAAAAAGUAAAAAGAAAGUGUAAUUAAAUUGAGAAUUGAAAUUUCAAAUAAGUCAAAUAGUUUUUUUUAUAAAUAUAAAUUAUAAUAUAAAUUAUUCCAUAUUUACAUUUGUCAGGUCACAUAACAAUUGUUAAUUUACACUUAAACACUGAAUUUCAAACACCUCAACAAUGACCACAUUAUUUCCUCUAAUUACCUGCAAUAAAAGAGAGAAAAAUUAUCAAUUUUAAAUCCAUGUUCAUGUUCUAUUAACUGCACUGUCUUAACAACUUAAAUUUAAAAGAUACAAAAGAAUAGGUCUCACCACCAUUCCUAUGGGAUUUUUUUCAUUGUCAUUCACUUCACCACAAAAAAAACUUCAAGUGAAAGAUGAGAGGAACACUAAUGUCUUAAAAUCCCGUGAAAAAACAUGAAACAAACAAUAAUAACUAAAUAAUAAUGAUAACACAUAAUAAUAAUAAUAAUAAUAAUAAUAAUGAAAUAAAUUAAUUAAUUAAAUACAAAAAGAGAAAGUAAGGAAAAUUUCUACUUUUCAUUACACUACCAACGUGAUUUGUCUCUCGUGUGAAUCUCAGUAUUAAAGUUGGUAGAGUAUUUUCAAUUAUAAUAAAUAAGAAAUUCAGAGUAUAAUUUGUUUUCACUCAUAAAUAUAAAGAGAAAUAACUAAAAUACACAGAAAAUCAGAAAUAUAUUAUGUACAUAAAAAUGCAGGAAGCAAUCAGCAAUAUAAAAAUAGAAACAUUAUUAAUUAACUGAAAAAGAAAAAGACGAUUUAAAAAAUAAAACAUAAAAAAGGAUAUAUAAUAAGUUGAAAAGUUAAUAAGAUAAAAAAUAAACACACUUGCUAAAGUUAAAUAAAAAACACAUAAUAAUAAUAAUAAUAAUAAUAAUAAUAAUAAUAAUAAUAAUAAUAAUAAUAAUAAAAUAAAUAAAUAAAUAAAUAAAUUAAAUACAAAAAGAGAAAGUAAGGAAAACUUCUAAUUUUCAUUGCAUUAUCGACGUGAUUUAUCUCCCGUGUGAAUCUCAGCAUUAAAGUUGAUAGAGUAUUUUCAAUUACAAUAAAUAAAAAAUUCAGAGUAUAAUUUGUUUUCACCCAUAAAUAUAAAGAGAAAUAACUAAAAUACACAGAAAAUCAAAAAAUAUAUUAUGUAAAUAAAAGUGCAGGAAGCAAUCAGCAAGAUAAAAAUAGAAACAUUAUUAAUUAAAUGAAAAAGAAAAAGGUGACUAACCCUUUAUUCUUUUUAUAUAAAAAUUUUCAAACCCCUCCAGAAAAAGAAAAACUACUUGACAUAUCCUAUUUUAUACAUCCAGUUUAUCAAAACAUGGGCUUUCAAUUUAAUUAUAACUCAUUAAGUAUCGUAAUCAAGUGACAUAGACAUCCUCUUGAUGAUUUCAUUUUCAUCCAGAAAAGGGAAAACUACAUUGCAAUAUGAAACUCUCUUUCACUCUCACAGAUCAAACUAACUUAUAUAUGAUCAAUACAACAUAUAUUGUAAAAUAGAAAUUAUAUAUAAUAUUUUGUUUAUUUCUUAUUUCGCUGAUCUUACUAUUACACCCUUCAUCCACAAUUUCUGUAAUUUGGCCAAAGGUGACGCACGGUAGACAGCAAGUUAUCAAACCUGCAUUAUUGAUAAUUACAAAUUAAUCAUUGAAUCAUGUAAGAAAUCAAUUUUAAUUUUUUAUUGAAUUGUAUCGUACUAAUUAUGUAGCAAAAAAAAUGUACAACUUAGGAGCGAGAGAUGAUGUUUCUAUUUCGUCAAUGUCUCGGAGCUACAUAUAUUAUAUUAUAUUGAUCAUAUAAAUAGAUAUAGAUAUAGAUUUUACAUGUCUUGGGGUCUUCUCCACAGCCACAAAAUUUUCCCUUGUCAAUAUAUUUAUACCUACCCAACAGAUUGGAUAAUUAUUCUUAAAGAAAGAAAUGAAAGAAAAAAAGCACUAUUAAUGAAUGAAAUAAGACAAAAUGAAAGGUUGUCAGAGAAAAGAAUAUAUAUAGACAACAAUAGGAUAUUGUAAAGUGGCUGGAAAAACGGCCAAUUCUUAUUCUCUGACAUUAAGCCAAAUAGAUAUUAAAUAAUGCAUUGUGAAUGUGAAAUGCAGGAAAAAUAGCAUGCCUGAUAAAAUUCUUACUUUCUUUCCCACCCAUUAUUUUUUAUUGAUCAAACUAUAAACUGGUUGUGUGUUUCAAGCUGUUUAUUUUUUAUUAUCUUGUUAGAAAAUUAGACUAAGGUUUCAAAUCAAUCGAACUAUGACUAUUUUUUUUAUUAAUGCAAUCUGUUUUCAAAAUAUUACAUGAGACAUUUAUAUUGAAGCUAGAGAAAUUAAAUGAUUUCUAUGAUUCUAUUCCUCCAUUCUCUUGUUCUCCAAAAGAGGGACAACGGCGAGUAUGAUUCUGAGUUAUCAUAGACUUCACACUCUUCCUUUGCUUGCUCUUGGCUUUUCCCCUAAAUAACAGCAUAAAAACCAAUAACCGCUAUGGCUGCUCCAAGCACACUGUACAUAAACAAAACCAUACUUACAUAAUUGUAUUCCUUCUAAGAUUAAAGUAUUUUUAAGUUGCAUUCACACACAUGCAAACAAAAGGUCCCCCUUUCAUAAUUGUAGUCCUUAGACUAAAGUAUUUUUUAAAUUGCAUUCAUUCACACGAAAACAAAAUGCUCUCAUUAAUAAAAUCAUAAGUCCAUAAGUGGACACACCUCCAAUUUUUCUUAUGAUUGAGACAUGAAAGAAACGUAUACCUUCCAAGAUUAAUAGAGCCACAAAGAAAGCCAAUUCCCAUGAUGAUUGCAAAGAUGAUUCCAAUUGGAUUAAACAUUGCAACAUAGAGAGGGCCCUUCUUGCUCAUGACCCAUAUAUGAACAAUAAUUCGAAGGGAUACACCAAAAAUUUCCUACAUUCAGACGCAGAUCAAGUUAAUCGAAAUUCAGAGCAAGAAAUAGAAGACUCAUGUUGAUAUAGGAAAUAGUAUCACUAUUUAUUCUUACUUGCAAUGCAAUAGCUAUCAAAUUCACAUCAAAUCCUAAUCUCAAAGCUUUUGGAUCCGUUACUGAAAUCAGUCAAGGUGGGAUAGAUAGAAAAAAGAAGUGGCAACCUUAUUGUCUCCUGCAUCAAAAACAAAAAAAAAAGGAAAAAAGAAGCAAGUGAAACAAUGGAACAAUUUUGAAACAUAAAGAAAUUACUUAAUUGCUGGUAAUUUUAAUUAAAAAAAAUAUCACCUUUGAAAUCUUACAUAUGUUGGUAGCAUCUAUUAUAUCUUACUGUAUAUGUUGUAUAUGUUCUCGUAUAAGGCUCAGAGAUACCCAAGACGCAAAGCAACAAAGAUCUUUAUGGAUUCCAUCAGCCAUCCUCUAACGUGAAAGAAAUCGUGCAGAACCAAUAUAUCCAACUGAAACAUGGAAGAAUGUGCAGAACCUAUAUAUCAAAAUGAAUAAAGAAGAAGAAGAAAAAUAUAGCAGCAAUACAAAUAAAUCAAUGAUAUAAACAGUGUUUGAGUAGAUGACAUAAACUAUACAGGAAUGAGAACCGAAUGAGGACUAAUCCAUAUACAGAAUCUACACAUACUAAUCUAAAAGCUAUAAUUGUUUGAAGGGUGCAUGAGAAAAUUCCUUACUCUUUAACUAAGGCAAAAAUUUCACAGCAUCAUUCGACCUUGUUUUCAAAUUGAAAGACUAAUUUAACCACUUACAAACACAAACCAAAUUACACAUCAAUUUUUUGUCGGAUAAGAGGUAAAUUAUAUAUCUAAGUUUAAAUUUGUGUGUAAACUUAUGGGUAUUAAUUACUAUCUAUCUAUAAAUUCAAUUGUAUAAAUAUUAUCAGUAAUGCUAUGUAGCACGAAAGUUUUCUGCACAAACACUAUAAGAAAACAAAAGCUGAAAUGUGAUUGGUUGAGUUUAGAUGAACAAUUUUGUAAUCAAAUCCUUUGACACAAAUUAACGGUGGUGAGCAGUGGUAAAACAUUUCGUGCUAGAACGAAUUCGUACUGAUAAACAUUUUCCAAAUAUUAUAUAGUGAGAUAUAAUGGAACUUUGGAAAUUAAUGAUAGCAAGCUAAGAUUUAGUGAAACUUACCAUGGCAAGAGAGAGGUGAGAAAUACAUAACAAUGUUUAAGCCUGCUCCCAUAACACCAACAACACCACCACGAGCUUCUCUUUGCAAUGCUAAUUGAGUAGUAACUACUGCUAUUGUCGAAAUUGCCACAUCCAAAAUCACAACCAAAAUGACAGUUCUACCUUGAAAUCAGAUUCAAAUUAAUCUAUCACCACUUAACAAUAAACAGGAUUUUGUAAGGUGAAUUAAUUAGAAAUUGGCUUAUAUAAUUAUAAUAUAAUUAAUUCAUUAAUAUAGUACAUAUUGAUUUUCUCUGCUAAUAAAACUAAGAAUAUUAAUAAUUAACAUUUGUUGUUAAAAAAAAGAAAUAUAUACUACACACCCUUAUCCCUUUUGGAGCAUAUAUGAGAAAUAGAAUAACAUAGAUUGUCUCCACCACAAUGCCAAAGCCAUCGGCAGUAGCCACGAGGUACUCUCUAGCCUUUAUGAUUCCAUAGUAAGUCCAUAAGGAACAAUUAAGCAAUGUGCAAAUGUAAGGAAGGCUUGAGAAAUCUUCCGUAGAUCCGUGCUUCUUUAUUUUCUAAAACGUAGGUCUGCAUCCUUUUGUUUAAUUUAUGUAUCAUCCAGUAGCAAUAAAUAUGAGAUAUAUUAUAAUCUAGAAUGCAAAUUAAGCAAUGAAAAGUGAACUCUGCAAUAUUAGUUGAUAGACUAUUUACUAAUAAACAAAAAUUUGUAUUUUGAAUAUUUGUUUAUUAUCACCUACAUGAUGUGCUGGUGCUUCCAAAUGAUAGAAUAAGUGUGGAAGUUUCUGGUGGGGUCGAACCAGAGAUAAAACAUGUAUUUGAAGACAGGGAUAAAUCAUGUUCUUCCAUGAAUAAUCAAUGCUAAAGCAACCUAAAAGAAGAAGAAAAAACAUACACACAUACAAAAAAGUCUACAGUAUCACUGUAUUAGCUCAUAUGAAGAAGGAAAGAAACUAAUAAUUUGAAUUAGUCUAUUUUUCUUAUAGUAAAAGCAAGGUAAAUGAGUAUACAAAAAAAAAAGAUAAGAAACAUGAUAAUAGCACAAAACAAUUUUUUAAUUUGGAAAAAAAUAGAAAAUAUAUUGGAAUAUGGACAAAAUUUAAAUACACUAAAAGUAUUAUUCUGUGAUCAGAAUUAGAGUUUUACUUCACUAAUCUAAUCGGUGUGUUGACAUUUAUUACGAACCUAUAUUACCCAAAUUAUCCAGGUAAAACUGUAAUUUAGAUUAAAAAAUAAUACUGAUGGGUCAUCAACUUUUAUAAGUUUAUGUUGACAUUUGUUAAUUUAUGUUGAGCAGGAACAGGAGAAAGAUGUUGCCCAAAUAAUACCUUAGAGCUUACACAGGAGAAAGAAACAUGAGAAUUGAGAUGAUGUUGCCUCCAUCAAAUUAACAAAGAACAAACAAUAUUUAUAUAUGAAGCACCCCUUUUUGGGGCAUUAAUCAAGAUUGGUCAUCAACUUGGCAAAACCGUGAAAGAAUGAUUACCUAUGACUCCAACAAAGAAACUUGCAUCUGCCAUGAUAUUUUGCAGACCAAGAAGCAAUAAGGUUAUUUUCCAAAUGGGGUGGUUUUGUUGGGUUAAUGAAAGGGUUUCAUUUUUUAUCUAGCAAUCAAAAUCUUAAUCGAGGGUUGUGAGAGGAUUUAUCAGCAUUGCAUAACCACUGCAUUGUCAUAUAAAAGUUUGCCUCGUCGUACAAAUGUCCAUGGAAUUAAUAAUGAUAAUGAGAUGCUCCCUAUCAAACUUGGUAGAGAAGAAUACUUAUUCACAUAUAAUAAUCCCCCUUAUCAUUUCAUUCACCCAGUAUGCGUUCUGCCCAAAUUCAGUUAUUUUAUUUUUCACAUUUAACAUGGGGAUCAUUCUGAUUUUAGUUUGAUUUAGUCAUUUAUAUUGAAAACAAACCUGAACAGCAGAUAUACUGAUGGCCCCAUCCAUAACUCCAGGACGAAUUCCUAGACACUGAAAUCAAAUGACAAAGUGACAGAAAAACAGUAAGCCAAGGUGCAGAGCAUGGAUGUCAUUUUUAUUUUGUCAAUAAUAAAGUGAUCAAGAUAGAUUAGUUCAAACAUAAAAACUCAAGUGUAAGUUUCCCUGCAUAUAGCAAAGCUUUUCACAUAGAAUUUUGCAAGCAAUACCUUUCUCCAUAAGUCAAUACCUGCCUUUCUAUAUUCUCUGAUGCAAUCAUCUGCAAAAGCAAUGAGUUUUGAAACACAUGACGUACUAUAUGAAAUCAAACCAACCCUAUACCCCUUUCUAGAUGUGACAAAGAAAUCCAUAAUAGAUCAUAAUAUAGAAGGAAACAAAGAUGCAAGAGAGACAAAUUAUUUUUAAUUCAGGUGCGGAGAGAAGAGUAAAUGAAAGAAAUUCCAUAUCAUUCAAACUACCAGUGAGAGUUAGAGAGAGCAUACUCUGGACUCUAAAUUCAUUACAACUGCAGACUCCGUGGAUGUCUUGGCAUGGUCAAGCUGUACCUGUGUAACUGUCAUUGCAGGAAGCCUAUAUUUAAUUUGGCACAUACCAGGAUUCACAGCAAGAGAAAAAAAGUAACCCAGAUUAAACCUUGUCCCGGUGAUGCAAUUGCUAUUAAUUCUCUGGCUGCUAAAUCCACAACUUUUGGCACAAAAUCAGAGGCCUAUAUUGAUGCAUAAGAAAAAGCACUCAAUUUUGAUAAAAAUAAAUAAAGAUUUGGUUAGAGGAAUGAAAUUGAAAUUAAGGCAGAUUAAUAAAAAUAAAUAAAGAUUUUAGGUAUUAGAUAAUGUUUAUCCAUGUAGCACUAUAUAUUAAUGCUGCCUGAAUUGUAUAUACUCAAGGAAAUACAUUUUAUUUGGAAGUUGUAAACUACAAAUGAACAACCUCUAUUGCCAUACACCCUCCUUGACCAAGAUUUGGUUGCAUUGGAUGUGCUGCAUCACCUCUGUAUAAUCAUAUGUUCUCAUGUUUCUGAUAUGAGUGCAAUCAGUUCAUCACACCAAUUACCAAAGAGAUCCAAAAGCCUAUUCUUCUUACCUGCUGUUACUCAGACAAAUGAAUUUGUUUCAAUUACAAUAACAAUUGAUACACACAACAAAAGGUAAACAUACCUUUUGGGAAAGGGUCACUUGAAGGGGGUUCCCCAUGGAAAGCAUACCACCGCAUCUUGCCAUGGCCAACAUCUGAAGCAACAAAGUACUGGUUCAAGCCCAAGAACACCGAUACCUUCAUGUAAUCACCAAAACAGAAACUUUAAAUAGUAGAACAGUUUAUAACAUUGUCCCAACAUUUUAUUUGGGAAUGAAGUACCCUAUCUUAGCUUGUUAAUCCACUAUAGCAUGUGAAACCCGAGUAAUUUGCUUCUUGCCGCCCAAAGAGUUUUGAACGCACCUAAGAAAAAAAAAAAGAAUAGAUUGAAUGGUAAAAGCAAGAAAAAGAAGAAACUCAUUUGUUAAUAAAGCUAGAAGGGAAGGAUGGUAUAUUUUACUUCUGACCAUAUUCCAUCUGCUCUUAUUAAAAUAUCACCAUCAUGUUGCUCUCCAUUUUCAAGGAUCACUAACCUGAUGUGAAUGAAAAGAUUAUUCAAAAUUGGAAAACCACUAACAUAAGUCUUAAUCAAUCAGAAAUUAGUUGUGCAGAGAAACUUAAACCUUGUUAGGUUCCUGAAUAAAAUAUUAAGCAUCAAAUUUUGAUGCUGCAAAAGAAAAAUGAACAGUAAAACAAUUUCCAACACAAACAACAAAGCCACAGACAUCCUGAUCCAAAUAAAAAUCACAAAAAACACAAAAAGAUACUGUGAGGUGCAGAGCUUGCAUGCAAAUCCAGAUAAUUAAGAAUUGAGGAAAAUGCAUAAAAACUCAUAAACUUUCCCAUAAAAGUCUGAACAAAAUAAAAAAUAUGAGUUUUAGAAAAAAACAACAACGAAGCAUAAAAAAACACAAAAAAUCAGACAAAAAACGGUGAUGAUCAUGCUUUCUAGACAUUAUAAAUGAAGUAGUCGGUAAAAGACAUUGAUUCGUGUCAGUGAAGUAUGAAUACUCACAAUCUGCAACUUGACGGUUUUCCCUUCUAGCUCCACGAUUCUGAUUUUCUGAAAAUAAAAUAAAAAUGAGUGUUGGACCAUAAAUAGAAAUAACAAAAGAGAAGAAGAGUGAUAAUUACGAAAUCAACUCCAAUAGUACUUACGUAGCUGUCGACCUAGGAGUCAUCCUGAAACGAAAUGAAGAAACAAAGGAAGUGAAUAAAAAGAGAGAUUAGGAGAAGCAAAUAAAGUAAUGACUCAUAGCGAAUCUGAGAAGCAAGCAAGAUUUUCAACGGAAAAGUCGCCGAUUAGGAGAAGCUUGAUUAGAUAAUCGUUGAAACCAAACCAAACCCCAAAUUAAACUCGGAGGCUAAAUUUAUAGUCUAAAGCCAAGCACAGAAAGGGAAACUCGGUUGAGUGCAGGAACGACGGCGAGAUAAAGCAUGGCUACCCAACCCAUCCUCAAAGCCAAACCAAAAUCGUUAAAAAAAAUAAAAAUAGAAUGAAGAUGAGAAGAGAAACAAAAAACAAAAAAUGCUUAGACUUUGUGUAAAGAAGAGAAGAGAUGAAGAGAGAGAAAACAUCUCAACGUGACAGAAAAAAGGCAACACAGGAGGCAGGUGGCACAAACCAAAGCAACAGGUGGCACAAAACCAAAGCAAAGCUGGAGGGCUAUAAAAUGACCAAAAAAACAAAAAAUUGAACAACUGUCAAGCUCUCAGCCAUGGGUAUUUUGACCAAAAAACCAAAAAAUUGGACAACUGUCAAGCUCUCAGCCAUAGGUAUUUUAGUAUAUUCCACAUACUUCAAUUUUAGUAUAUAGAUAUUGAUAUUGAUUAGGCUUAAUUUUAAAAUUCGUUUAUUAUUUUACAAAUUUCACUCAAUUCGUUUAUUAUUUUUUAAUUCACUAUCUUACAUAAAAAAAUAAAACUUAUAUAUAUAUAUAUUAACUUAUUCAAAAAUAAAAUUUAAUUUUAUAUAUUUUAUUUUAAAAGAUAAUAUAUAAGAUAAUAAAAAUAUAAUAAAUUAAAAAAAUUAAAUUUUAAACUAUUUUCACAUCAAUAAAUAUUACCAACUACCCAAAUAGACAAAUAGGUACAGUGAUAAAAGAGUUUGUUUCUUAUUUUAAAAAUAAAGACCAUGAUUCUUACUUUAAAGGUUAAAAUUAGCUCUAAACUAAGAUAAUGUAUUUUAAGAUAUAAGAUAACUCAAAUAGUGAAUUAAAAAAUAGAAAUAUCGAUUUAGUGUAAUAAACAAAUAAGGAACAAAUUUUACAAUUAAGCCUUUUAUAUAAAGUCAGUGCAUAAUUUUUUUUUUCACUUUUUAUAUUUACAAUAUCAUUUUAAUAUAAUUAAUACAUACAUAAUUUUCAUAUAUUAUAUUUACAAUAUCAUUAUAUUAUUUUUAAGUGAUAUAUAAAGUUUUCAGUUAUUUUAUUUUUAUACCUGCGCAUUACCCUGGAUCACAAUCUAGUUUAUAAUUUACAAUAAACAAAUGCAUGAAGAUCGCAAAACUUAAAUUUUAGUAUUCAAGUAGAAACUUACACAGUUAACCCGAAGAAAAUCUGGGUGGAUUACUAAUUUUAAAGCUAAUGACAAGAUUAUUUUACGGGUACCAUAUAUUUGAUAAUGAUAAUACUGAGAAUUUUAAAAAUACAGCCUAAUAAACAAUAUUAACAUAUCUAUAUGAUUUAGGGGUUGCUCUUAUUCAUUACAGAGGUAGUGAAUGAAAAAAAGAAUUGAAGAAGAGUAUAAUCUUUUAACAUACGGAAUUUAGGAAAACCAUCAAUCUAUAUUGACCAAAGUAAAAGUCUCUGUAUAUCAUAAAAUGAACAAAGUUGAGGAAGAAAGAAAUUUGAGGGAUUAAGAAUUAUUGAUAGAGUUCAAAAGCCCGCAGAGUUGAAUUCAGAGACGCUAACAUGUCAACUCCACUGCUUUAGUUUCAGAUUUUAUAAAAUUAACGUAUACAACAAGUAUUUGAAGACCUCAAUUUGAUAAAAAGCUAGAAAUUGAUGAAUUGAACAUCACCAAAUUUUAAAUUUCAAACUCUUCCCAAUAAAAUAUAAAACUUAACACCCUCCAGAGAAAUCAUUUUGGCACGGGAGCUAUUCAAAGCUGAAGCAGAAUGGUUAACAUUGUAGGCGUACCAAAUUGUUCUAAAACUACUCUAUUUUUGCAAAUUGUUUUUUUUUAUUAUGACUUUCAUAGAAAAAAGUCAUAUAAUUGCAAUAUUUAUGGCAUCCUUAUUGACUGGAAAUUGAUUUUUUUUUUUGCUCCUCUAACUAGGAAAUUUUUUCAGAUUUGUCAUUGCCAAAGUUUAAAAUGAUGCCACUUCAAGUCUGCUGGUGCUUAACAACAACAAAAAGCUCAAAAUGAUGGAAAUACUGGGAGCAGAGAUUAAUAUAUUUCCUAUCUAAAUAUCCAAAGUUUUUUCUUUUUUAUUAAGCAUACUUUAUGAAGAUUUGUGGACUUUAUGUCAUGUGUACUUGAAGUGCUUUGUUUUGCUCUAACAUAAGGUUUUAAGAUUCCACUAAGUGUGGUAGGUUCUAUUAUUUCAGUUAUUAUGUUGUAUCUUUGAUUUCUACUAGUGAGACCUCACAUUUUUUUCCAACAAUGAUGUUGCAUAUUUGUUCUAAUGUUCUCCUUUUUCACACAAUGAAAGCAUGCACGUAAAAUCAGGAGUGUUAAGCUUGAUUUUCAAUGAUGCAUUUAGAUUAAUGACACAGAUUAAAUAGGCUACUCGAACGGUAAUGGUACAACUGGUGAUGUGCUACCUUUACUCGGAAAGACACCUAUGUUAACCCUUACUACCAAAUAACAGUCAUAUAGGUAAUUGCUAUACUGGAUCUAACGUGUGCAUGCACCAUUUGUACAACAUGUGGCAAAGGCAAUACAUGAACAAUCACCAUGAUGAUUAUCGUUCUUGGAUUUAACCAAUCUUAAACAUGGAAACAAAUUAAAGAGGAAUCCUUACACAGUUGGGAUUUUGUGUUGAGACAUACAGUGGAAUAAAUAUACGACAAUGGGACAAAUCCUUUGCAACUAUGUUUGCAACGAAUGAUGAUAAUAAUAUUUUUGUAUUCUAAAUCAAUGCAAACUUGUGUCUCCUUUCCUUCUCUUCUGACAUCAGAUUCAUCUACUCUCUUACAAGAAACAAAUUGUUGAGUCUAUCUUUAACGUCAAACAAUCCAUACUCAAUGUGCUCAUAAGCUUCCUUACCAAGAAAAUCCUGCAACCUCCCAAUGAAGUUUCCAUAUGCUGGCAACAAGAUCUUUUCUAUGGAUUCUAUCAUUAUUCUCCUUAGCCCCUCAGUUGAGACAAACCACGUAGACUGAACGUUGCAUAUAUCAUCGAAGUGUCCGUUGAAGGAACGAAGCUUGUUUUUCAUUAACUGUGCCGCAACAUUAGGCUCUGACUCAUUGAUGUCCAGCUUCAAAAUAUCCAAGAUCUUAUUCCAUGAGUUUCUCAGAUAGAGUUGAAGGUUUUCUUGGAUACUAGUUGUGUUUUUUUCAAUCCAGUCAUUUCCAAGAAUAUAUCUCAAUUCACGCUGCAUUGCCCUUUGCUGUAUGUAGCUUCGAUUGUUGAUGAUGAAAACGUAACCCAAAAUAGGAUCAUGGUAAUUUUGGGAGUUGGCUUCCAAACUGCUGUCUAACAGGUCUGUUAUCAUGGCUAUGCUAUUCAGUGGAAAUCCUUCUUCAUAAGUCAUGGGGUUCAAUGAAUGCAAAUAAUGAAUCCCAGCGUAGUCCAGCACAUCAAGGGUAAUCUGAUGAACCCUGCCGCCGGGAACAAUGGCUUUCUCCUUAACACCGUAAGUAAGACUUAACAAUUCCCCGAACUGACGUAUUCCGUGUAAUGGUGAGACAAUGUCCAAAUCUAUCAACAACUUGUCCCGCAAUGCAGGGUAACUGUCCAAACUCUUCCGAAACCCGAACCUAUGUAUUCCGGGUAAUGCAGGGUACUUAUCCUCAAGGGGAAUGAACCCUUCAAAGACGCAUUCACAGAGUCUUCUUUCAUUGGGUAAUAGUAUCCUAUCAGCUAAGCACAAAGCUUUUAUAAAAAACUCGGUCUUAAUCGUGUUGCCAAUUUUGAGCUCUAUCCACCCUGAUAGUAUCUCACUCAGAAACUCCCUCCGCCAAGUAAUGUACACGUCAAUGCAUUCCUCCCUUAACCCUGCUGUCACCAUCAGCCUUACACAUUCACGAAGGUCAUUGAUAAUAACUGAUGGCAGAGAAUCCACCACCAAGUUGUCAUCGCAAUGCAAUUGCAGAUCUGGAGUCUGGACAAGACUAGCUUUGAGGUAUUCCUCAGCAUGCUUGAAAAUUGUUAAAAUAACAUUUUCAUUCUCCUUCUUAAGCGCCUCUAUGCAACCCAUGAACUGUGUCACAAUACUAUUGUUAUCACUAUCAUUAAUUCUUUGUUGUGAUUCAGUGACUAACAAUCCUAGAUCCUCAAUUUCUUGAGGGGAAUCAGCCUCUUGUGCCACAGAUGCAAUAGCCUGGGGGGAAUCCACUUGAGUAACACUAGGACUGGUUCUUGUUCCUUGCGAUUGUGCAUGUGAACCAAAGUCAAUGACUACAUGAUCAUGAUCUCGGUCUUGGAGUCCAUGAUGAUACCCACUUCCUGGAGCAACCAAAGAGGAACGAAGAAUGAUGAGGGAAUAACUGAAACUCCCUCCAACAAUGACUAACCAUAACUUUAUUUUCAUGAGUUGUAAUAUUAGGAGUCCACUGAAAAAGACUAAGAGAUCAACCUCAAAACCAAAAUGACUCAAUCUUGAUAAAGCCAAAGACAUGAUAGCAAAUGCAGCACAUGAAGCAAGGCUAUAUGCGUCUGGUUUCCCUUUCACUACUUUAUCGAAGAAAAAAGAGUACACAGAAGUGAUCAUCAAAAUAAAAAAGGCCAUGUGAGCUUCCACCCGAGGAGAGGUGGAGCACUCCCAAACAUUUGCAAACAAGACAGUAAGGCAGAUAAUGAAAAUAAAACCAAUGUAAAGUAAUAUCUUCCACCAUGUCCACUUUCCAAAUAGAUUAUUGAAAGAAGAGCUGAAAGCGUAACAGAGGAGUCCAACAACAGAUGAAAAGAAACACACAAAUCUCCAUACCUUUGACUUCUGCAGCCAACUCUGAAUAUUGAUCAUGAUCAACAUGAAGACCAUACUCUUUCUCAAGCUAGCAAAGUUUGUAUUCUGGAAAAUAGAAGCUGAUAGCCACCACGAGUUUUGACUUGGGAUAAGAUAAACCCUUCAUCUUUUCAUAGAAAUUUCAAGGAAAGGGAAUGGGAAUGGAGAGCUUCACUUCUAUUAAAAUUUGUGUGGGUCCGGAGGGUGUUAGAAUAGAAAUUUCAAGGAAAGGGAAUGGAAUCUGAAAGCUACUACAUUUCUAUUAAAAUAGUGAAUUAUAAUUUUAAAAAAUUUAUAAUUGAUGCACACGCAAAAGAAAAGUGAUCUGACUAAUAAAAGUAUAGUGACGGUUGACUUUUUUCAGUGCUUUGCAUGAUGAGGACGAAUUGAAUAUGAGUAAAGAUGAACCGGUCGUCAGGUCUACCUCCAUAAUUUGACCAGUUCAAUCCUAAGUUGCUGAUGUCAUUAGGUGCUAGCUAUGUUGCUGAUAUCAUGAGGUUUAAAUACAUUUGCAAUUGGCUAAAUUUUACUCUAUUUUUUUCAGUUUAAUUCCUUAUGUUUUGAAAGGUUGAAUUGUGUUUCUUAAAGUCUUUUCACAAAUAUUUUAUAAAGACACAAUGAAGGAAGACAGACAAAGCAACUCACAAAUUUGAACACUUUCAGCAACUCACAAACCAAAGGUAUCGUCCUAUGGAUGAAAUAUAGUUUUGUAAAUCUUGUUUUGAAAAAUUUGGUAAACACUGCAGAGUUAGCUGCAAACAGGUUGAAUCCAAGAUCGAGAUUAAUUGUUUUGUAAAAUUGGAUAAUGUGAUCGAAGACAAUCUUCAGGAUUAUCCUAAAAAGUUUGAGUUGUUGAAAAGUGAUAAUAAAAAAUUGUACAAAAUUAAUGACAUGUAAAAGAGAGCAUUAAGAACUUGCCGAAAGUAAUAAACAAAAGGUAAAAAUGAAAAAUUGGUUCCCCACUUUAUCUCCAGUAUCGGAUUUGGUCUCCCAGUUUUUUAGUUCACGAAUUUUGUCCUCCUAUGUUGUAAAAUCUUAUCAUGUUGGUCCCACAGGACACAAUUGGACGUUGACCGUUAGGCAGUGACGUUGACUGUCACGUGUCAAUGUCUGAUAGACACGUAAAAAGGUUUGCAAUUUUUUACCUUAUGUGUUUUUUACCCCAACCCUAAAGCUUGGUUUUUGGAACCGCUAUCCCAUAAAUCGCAAACCCUUGCCUGAAGGUUUCACCGUUUGUGUUUGUUAGUGGUUGUGGUAUGCGUGAAAAAUCGCUGUUGAACGUCGUAGGAACAUGGAAGUGACUUUUGUUUUCAAGUAAGUUAUGUUAUUUGUGGGGUUUGUUUGUUGAUGUGGUCCAGAGGGUGGUUUUGUGUAUUUGUGUGGUUGUUGUGGGUGGAUAGUUUUGUCUAUUUGUGUGGGGUUCGUUGGUGGUGGUUGUGUACGAAUAGUUUUGUCUAUUUUUGUUGAGGUUUUGGGGUCCACGAGGUCUUUAGUAGUUUUUUUUGUUGUGUUGGUCUUUUAUGUGUUCGUUGGUGGUGUGGUCCCGAUUUUGUGUUUGACGGGGUUUGUGCUUUAAUUUCUUUUUGUUGUGGUGGUCCCUUAUGUGUUGAGCUGGAAACAUGAAUACUGGUUUUUUUUUUUUGUGGUGGUGGUCCUGAUUUUGGCUUUUGUUUUCGUUUUGUUUUGAAAACCUUUGGUGAUGGGUGUUGUUUUGAUUAAUUUUUUGUGCUUUGUUGUCGUUCGUGUUUUUUGCAGGCCAAUCGAAGAACAAACAGUGAGGUUAAAGAUUCACCAUGGAGGGAUGUUUAUUUAUAAGCCAUCUAUGACACCUUCUACCCCAUACACAUAUGUACUAAUAAAAUGAAAAGAAAUCAUAAUUAAUUAAAAGUUUUUAAAACACAUUUAAAUAAAAUCCUUUCAACAUGGUAAAAGGCUCACAUUCACUUUCUUUUACGUCAUAUUCAAAGUUGUCCAAAUAAAUAAUAAAGUCAUCUCUGCUCAAACAAGACUACCUAAGACUUCAUACAAUUAAUAAGAAACCUAUAUCCCAAUGUCACAUCCUAUUAGAGCAUUGUGUCCCGACGUCCUUCAACACAAGGUUCCUUAAAGCAAUUCACCUAGUCAUCCUCAUCUAACUAAAAUGCAUAACAAAACUCUUAGCACGAAACAUGAUUCCCAAGGGUCAAUAGCAACCUUAUGAUACACCCCAUAAUCCAACUUAACUGGAAACACACUAAACACUAAUCAUUGAAACCACUACAAGAGCUAACUCAGGGUGGGAGAUCCUGUCCAUGCAUCCCACGAACACACAAAGGCAUUGAUCUUGUCAAGACAUGACUAGGUACACGUAAAAGGCCAUGAAAGAUACUAAGGUAGUCAUUGGAGCAUCCUCAGAUUUUUCCCAUAUUAAGGUAAGGAGAACUAAGAUUUAUCUCGCUAAUCAUACAACUAUUAUCAAUAAUCUUCUAGGUCACCUACCUUACGCAAGAACACUCACUCUCGAACCCUUCCAUGCUUAACAAUUAAUGCCUUACUAAAUACCUUACACUCUUCUUAAGGUUUCACACUAAAUCUCUUAACUAUUCUUCACAACUUUUUCAACUACUAUAUAUUCCUAAACAACUCUUUACAAGUUAUCUCCUAGGAACUACGGUUACAAUUUUCUAUGGGUACUACACUUAUAAGAUUCUCAAUCUCGCACUUAGGUGGUAACUAAGCACAUCCUCAAGGAACACAUGUACAUGACUUACUAAGUUGGCUUUCAUCUAUAGGUAACAAGGAUAAUGCCCACUCAAGUAUUUUCCUCUCAAAACACCUUAACAUGAUUAACAAGAGCGAAGUCUCUCUCUAUUUGUAACAGAAGUAAUAACAUGACAGAUUAUCAAGCGGUUUGACAAGACAUGAUUGGAAGAUGAGCAACCAAUAACAAAAUAAACACUUAAUUAAUUAGGAGGCAAUAAUUUUAAAUCAAGAAUGAUCACUUAUUCAUAAUUAACAACAAAUAUUCUGAAAGAAUUAUAUAAACGAAAACAUGAACACAAUGUACACCCAUGUGGAGAUGUUAACAAUCAUUUGAUUGUGAUAGAAACAUCAAUAAUAAAAAACUAUUUGACGUAGGCUUGCAACACAAAGAAUGAGUUAUACUAUGGCUUGCAAGUAUAAUCGAGUUACUUGACUUCAACACGUAACACAAGAAAAUGGGUUGCACUAGAACUCGAAGGUAUAGUCAAAAUAGUAUUCCUUAUGAAAUAUAUCCCGAUAUGGGUCAUCGAACUAUAAGGUAUUAGCAUCGCUAAGAACAAGAAAUCACAAACAACCAUAUCAUUUAUACAAUUAAGGGAGAACACCUUACUACAAACAUACAUAGAAUUAUAAGGUUUCUAUAACAAGCAUAUAGCAUACAUAUAAGGAGUAAGAAUUAAAAAGUCAUUAGGAUGUAUUUAACGAAUCACAAGUUUCAACAAUCACGUUUAUGAUCACUCACUAAGAAAAGAAAGGAUUAGCCAACACAUGUUAACACAUUGAUUAAACACACUCAUUCACAACACACCUGCAAGUUCAAGGUUCUUGACGACAUUAAUACACACAUCAAGUUUUCAAGAUAACUUAUAUCACUUAAUGGCUUGCCAUGACAUCCUACUGCACUUCACAAAUUAUAGAGAUGGCCAGUCUCAUAACUCAUGACUCAACAGUGGAUUUAUGGUAUAACAGACAUUAAGGAUGCAAUGCACAUCACAAGCAUCAUUCAGUCUCAUUUAAUCAUGCAAGGAAAAAAACAGUUAAUAAUUCAAGCAUGCUCAACAAAAAUAUUCAUAAGUAAUCACAAAGAGCACACACCAGCAUAUGGUAAACACAUAACACACUAGCUGAAAGGUUCGACCUGCUCUGAUACCACUAAAUGUGACACCCUCUACCCCAUACAUAUAUGUACUAAUAAUAANNNNNNNNNNNNNNNNNNNNNNNNNNNNNNNNNNNNNNNNNNNNNNNNNNNNNNNNNNNNNNNNNNNNNNNNNNNNNNNNNNNNNNNNNNNNNNNNNNNNUACAAGACCGCCUAAUUCAUACAAUUAAUAUAGGAACCUAUACCCCAAUGUCACAUCCUAUCAGAGCAUUGUGUCCCGACGUCCUUCAACACAAGGUUCCUUAAAACAAUUCACCUAGUCAUCUGCUCCCCCGAACACGAUGUUCAAGAUCAUCACAUGAUUCAAACACAAACAACACAUAGGGAGUGAGUUAUCACAUUCAUAACUAAUAGAGAAACAAGACAACUAGAUAUACAUAUCAUAUAAAUGAGAUACAACUUACUUAAACAUAACUCACAUAAUUCCACCACUUUGUCAUUUAAAAUUCACUUUUCAAUCAUCAAUCACAUUACACAUGAAUCACACACUCCGAUCGAGACAUAAUAACACAUCAAUUUCAUAAUAGACAAUUAGUAAGCGUAUGCAAUAGUUAUGCUAAGACUCAAGCCUAUAUGCAAUGUGGUACCAUGUCAGUGAAAAACCUCCCUGGGACGCUUAGGAGUACAUAACAAGACACAUCAUAACAUGGAUAUCUUAAGUUACUCUCACUAAGUAAAAUCAUAGGGAGAUCAGUAAGGGUUACACUGUUUUGCGAGAAUGCUCCAACCAUGUGGGAUCGGCACAGACUUAAAGGAGCACUCAAACUGGGUGUAUUUACCCCCAAGGCCUACACUCCGAAGAGUCCGUCAGGGUCUCUCCCUCCUGAUUCAGGUCCAACCCCUAAAAUAAUUUUUUACAUGCAGACAGUGCUCAUGAACUAUACAAUACCCACGACCUAACACUUGCGUUUUAAACACGUUUAACACAUUGCGCUACAAUUUAACACUGGUUCCUAAAUAAGAAACCUACACUUUCUCUUUAACACUGGUUCCUAAAUAGGAAACCUACACUUUUUCUUUAACACUGCGCAUUAACACUUUUCUCAAGAUAACACUGGUCGUGUUAUUGUAUAAUUCACAGCUCACAACACAAGUAAUGUCACAUCAAGUGUUAACCACACACUUAUUCACAACUAAAACUUGUUCACAAUUUCACAUCUCAUAAUGUCACAAUCCAUCAUCAUAUGUUUACAUGUAUAUCACAGAUUAACACAUAUUCAACUUUGCACUUAUACUCAAUCUCGAUAACAAUAUUAUAAUUUCAAAGCAAUAUGUUAUUCCACAAUUCAUGACAAAUUUAAUUUAUAGACACUGCUCAUGAAUUAUACAAUACCCACGACCUCAUACUCGUGUUUUAAACACGUUUAACACAUUGCGCUACUAUUUAACACUGGUUCAUAAAUAGGAAAUCUAUACUUUCUCUUUAAUACUAUACAUAAGCAUUUUCUCAACAUCAACACUGGUCGGAUUAUUGUAUAAUUCACAGCUUACAACAUAAUUAUUGUCACAUAAGUAUUAAACACAAACACACUUAUUCACAACCAAAUAUCAUGCCCACAAUAAUUUGUAUAAAAUAAGUCAUUGAAUAAUAUAGUUUAGAAUAUAAUUCACGUUAAUAAAAAGAGUUCAAUUUUUUUAAGGGUUCACACUCAACACAAGAACGCAUCAAUUUCACAGCAAUUUCUCAUUGGGACAUCAACUGGUUCAUCAAACAUAUAUAAUUCACAGUUAUAAUUAUAAUUAUAAAAUAAAAAAUUACGGAAACACUCCAAAAUCCAUUCCAAUUGAUACUCUAAGGAUCCCUACACAUGUUCUCGCUAAUCCCCAUUACCUCGAUGUAGUCACUCAAGCGUUCUCCAUUAUCAAUUGUGGCAUUUUUGGUGCUCUCUAGAGCUCCUCCUCUGGUUGCUCUGUUAGGGUUUCUAAACGUUAGAGAGAAGGAGAAGGGAUUGAAGCCUCAAUUCCAUUGUCCUACGUGCGAUGCAACUUUCUCCGUUCACAAACAUUCUUUUGUAAAUCUCAAUGGUGAAGGUGUUCAGAAUUAAAUUUCGAACCACAUAUCAAAAUUUCACAACAAUCCAACAGUUAACAAACAUAAUGGUAGUUUUACCGAGACAAUUAUGAGUUUCUGCAGGAAAGAAAAAGUUACAAUGUGAAGGGUAUUUCUAUCAGCUCCGACAAUUUUUCGUAAUUCCCAACGGUGAGAAGGCUCGGAAUUGAGUUAAGAACCUGGUGCUUAAAUUUUACGACGAUCCAACGGUAAAUGAGUCCGAGAUCAUUGUUUUUUUGAGAUAGGUUUGGUGGUAUACAGAAAAAAGAGAGAGUUUUGGGAGAAGGAGAGGGAAAAACGAAAUUGAGAGUAAGAGAAGGCAUUGGUGUGAAAACUAACCUAAUACGUUUCUAUUUAUAGCUAGGGUACUUAGAACUUAUCAUUUACUCUAUUUAUUUAUUUUUAUUAUUUUAUAAAAAAAAUUCUAUUUUAUUCCCUAUCAAAUGAAUAAAUAAAAUACUUUUUUCUCUCAAAUCAUUAUUUUAAUUAAUAAAAUUAUUUCUCCUUAUUUAUUUAAUUACAAAAGCCUCAUCAUUUUAAAACUCUAUUUAUUUUAAAUGAAAAACCUUUUUAAUUUAAUUUACGAAAAAUGGGAUGUUACACCAUCUACUGUGUAUGUCAAUGGUGAGAUCGUUGAAGAAGAAUGGGGUUGGGAUGUGGAUACUAUGUCAUAUAUUGACUUGACGAAGGUGAUUAAGUCUAUCGGGUAUAAAGCAUUCAAGUGCUUAUGGUACAUGUACCCCUGAAAAGCACUUUGCAGAGGGUUGAAUCCACUUAAUUGUGACUCAGAUAUUUUGCAAUUGGCUGAAGAUGUUUCUGUGUUUGAUGUGGUUGAAGUGUAUGUGGAAGAGGGGGUGUUUGACAAAUUUGAAAAAAAGUUGAAUGAUUUUAAGGGNNNNNNNNNNNNNNNNNNNNNNNNNNNNNNNNNNNNNNNNNNNNNNNNNNNNNNNNNNNNNNNNNNNNNNNNNNNNNNNNNNNNNNNNNNNNNNNNNNNNGUUAAGGUGGAGGCUGAGGUUCAGCUUGAUGAGAAAAGUUUGGUGGAGUUGAGAUGCAAGUGAAGAUGAGCUGUGUGUAGGUGAGAUGGAGGUUGUUGUUGAGGGUGUGGAUGAUGAUGAUGUUGGGGCUAAGGCAGAUGAUGAUGAUGUGGGGGCUGAAGAAACUGAUGAUGAUGAUGUUGGGGCUGAUGAAGAUGAUAAUGAUAGUAGCGACUGUAGUGAUGUUUCAGAUAGUGACUUUGAAGAAAGCUCGGAUUGGACAACAUGGUUGGACUCUCAAACAUUUAGUCAAAGUACUAACCCCACAUUUGAUACUAAUAAAGUAGACUUAACAAAUUGUGAUUUUGCUGAUGAAGGUGGAUAUUCUGAUGAGUUGGAUACUCCACCUGGAAGUGAAGAUGAAGGUCCCCCAAAAGUUAGAUUUUCUCGUUUUAAGGUGCCUGAAAAUGAUGAAGAUGUCAAGUUUGAGAUUGGGUUAUGCACUCAUUAAGUUUUUAGCAUUUGCUGUCAUUAAAGUCUGAACAAUAUUAACACUACCAAAUACUUAAAUAAGCAAGUAGGUAUAGUGAUAAAAGAGUUUAUUUCUUACUUUAAUCAUAAGGAUCAUGAUUCUUACUUUAAUUGUUAAAAUCACCUCUAGACUAAGAUAAUGUAUUUUAAGAUAUAAGUAAAAUAGAAAGAUGGAUUUAGUGUAAUAAGCAAAAUAGAAAACAAAUUUUGCAAUGAAGCCUUUUAUAUAAAGUCAGUGCAUAAAUUAUUUUUCACUUUUUAUAUUUACAAUAUCAUUUUAAUAUAAUUAAUACAUACAUAAUUUUCAUAUAUUAUAUUUACAAUAUCAUUAUAUUAUUUUUAAGUGAUGUAUAAAGUUUUCAAUUAUUUUAUUUUUAUACCUGCGCAUUGCCCUGGAUCACAAUCUAGUUUAUAAUUUACAACAAACCAAUGCAUGAAGAUCGCAAAACUUAAAUUUUAGUAUUCAAGUAGAAACUUACAUAGUUAACCCGAAGAAAAUCUGGGUGGAUUACUAAAUUUUAAGCUAAUGACAAGAUUAUUUUACGGGUACCAUAUAUUUGAUAAUGAUAAUAUUGAGAAUUUUAAAAAUACUGCCUAAUAAGCAAUAUUAACAUAUCUAUAUGAUUUAGGGGUUGCUCUUAUUCAUUACAGAGGUAGUGACAAUGAAAAAAAGAAUUGAAGAAGAGUAUAAUCUUUUAACAUACGGAAUUUUGGAAAACCAUCAAUCUAUAUUGACCAAAGUAAAAGUCCCUGUUUAUCAUAAAAUGAAAAAAGUUGAGGAAGAAAGAAAUUUGAGGGAUUAAGAAUUAUUGAUAGAGUUCAAAAGCCAGCAGAGUUGAAUUCAGAGACGCUAACAUGUCAACUCCACUGCUUUAGUUUCAGAUUUUAUAAAAUUAACGUAUACAACAAGUAUUUGAAGACCUCAAUUUGAUAAACAGCUAGAAAUUGAUGAAUUGAACAUCACCAAAUUUUAAAUUUUAAACUCUUCCCAAUAAAAUAUAAAAUUUAACACCCUCCAGAGAAAUCAUUUUGGCACGGGAGUUAUUCAAAGCUGAAGCAGAAUGGUUAACAUCGGAGGCGUACCAAAUUGUUCUAAAACUACUCUAUUUUUGUAAAUUGUUCUUUAUUAUUAUUACUUUCAUAGAAAAAAGUCAUAUAAUUGCAAUAUUUAUGGCAUCCUUAUUGACUGGAAAUUGAUUUUUUAUUUUGCUCCUCUUAACUAGGAAAUUUUUUCAGAUUUGUCAUUGCCAAAGUUUAAAAUGAUACCACUUCAAGUCUGCCGGUGCUUAACAACAACAAAUUGCUUAAAAUCAGUUCGUAGGAAUUUUUCACUGAGCCCUCAUGAUAUGUUGUUGGUUUUGAUGGUUGCAUAUUUGUUCUAAUGUCUCCUUUUUCAGACAAUGAAAGCAUGCACAUAAAAUCAGGAAUGUUAAGCUUAAAUUUCAAUAAUGCAUUUGGAUUAAUGGCACAGAUUAAAUAGGCCACUUGAACGGUAAUGGUACAACUCUUGAUGUGCUACCUUUACUCGGAAAGACACCUAUGUUAACCCUUACUACCAAAUAACAGUCGUACAGGAAAUUGCUAUAUAUACUGGAUUUAGUGCGUGCAUGCACCAUUUGUACAACAUGUGGCAAAGGCAAUACAUGAACAAUCACCAUGAUGAUUAUCGUUCUUGGAUUUAACCAAUCUUAAACAUGGAAACAAAUUAAAGAGGAAUCCUUACACAGUUGGGAUUUUGUGUUGAGACAUACAGUGGAAUAAAUGUACAACAAUGGCACAAAUCCUUUGCAACUAUGUUUGCAAUGAAUGAUGAUGAUAUUUUUGUAUUCUAAAUCAAUGCAAACUUGUGUCUCCUUUCCUUCUCUUCUGGCAUCAGAUUCAUCUACUCUCUUACAAGAAAUAAAUUGUUGAGUCUAUCUUGAAUGUCAAACAUUCCAUACUCAAUGUGCUCAUAAGCUUGGUUACCAAUAAAAUCCUGCAACCUCCCAAUGAAGUUUCCAUAUGCUGGCAACAAGAUCUUUUCUAUGGAUUGUAUAAUUUUUCUCCUUAGCUCCUUAGUGAAGACAAACCACGUACACUGAAUGUUGCAUAUAUCGUCGAAGUGUUCGUUGAAGGAAAGAAGCUUGUUUUUCAUUAACUGUGCCGCAACAUUAGGCUCUGACUCAUUGAUGUCCAGCUUCAAAAUAUCCAAGAUCUUAUUCCAUGAGCUUCUCAGAUAGAGUUGAAGGUUUUCUUUGAUACUAGUUGUGUUUUUUCGAAUCCAGUCAUUUCCAAGAAUAUGUCUCAAUCCACCCCGCAUUGCCCUUUGCCGUAUGUAGCUUCGAUUGUUGAUGAUGAAAACGUAACCCAAAAUAGGAUCAUGGUAAUUUUGGGAGUUGGCUUCCAAACUGCUGUCUAACAGGUUUGUUAUCAUGGCUAUGUUAUUCAGUGGAAACUUUCCUUCCAAACUGCUGUCUAACAGGUCUGUUAACUGCACAUCUAUAAUCCCAGCGUAGUCCAGCACAUCAAGGGUAAUCUGAUGAACCCUGCCGCCGGGAACAAUGGCUUUCUCCUUAACACCGUAAGUAAGACUUAACAAUUCCCCGAACUUACGUCCAUGUAUUGUUUCGGGCAAUCCAGGAUAACUGUCCAAACUCUUCCGAAACCCGAACCUAUGUAUUCCCGGUAAUGCAGGGUACUUAUCCUCAAAGGGAAUGGACCCCUCAAAGACGCAUUCACAUAGUCUUCUUUCAUUGGGUAAUAAUAUCCUAUCAGCUACGCACAAAGCUUUUAUAUAAAACCGGGCAAUUUUGAGCUUUAUCAACCAUGAUAGCAUCUCACCCAGAAACUCCCUCCGCCAAGUAAUGUACACGUCAAUGCAUUCCUCCUUUAACCCUGCUGUCACCAUCAGCCUUACACAUUCACGAAGGUCAUUGAUAAUAACUGAUGGCAGAGAAUCCACCACCAAGUUGUCAUCGCAAUGCAAUUGCAGCACUGGAGUCUGGACAAGACUAGCUUUGAGGUAUUCCUCAGCAUGCUUGAAAAUUGUGAAAAUAACUUUCUCUUUCUCCUUCUUAAGCGCCUCUAUGCAACCCAUGAACUGUGUCACAAUACUAUUGUUAUCACUAUCAUUAUUUCUUUGUUGCGAUUCAGUGACUUGGAAUCCUAGAUCUUCAAUUUCUGGAGGGGAAUCAGUCUCUUGUGCCAUGAUAACAAUAGCUUGGGACGUAUCUACUUGAGUAGUGCUAGAACUGGUUCUGGUUCCCUGUGAUUCUGAAUGUGAACCAAAUUCAAUGACUACAUGAUGAUGAUUUUGAUCUUGGAGUCCAUGAUACCCACUUCUCGCAGCAACCAAAGAGGAACGAAGAAUGACGAGGGAAUAACUGAAACUUCCUCCAACAAUGACUAACCAUAACUUUAUUUUCAUGAGUUGUAUUGUUAGGACUCCACUGAAAAAGUGUAAGAGAUCAACCUCAAAACCAAAAUGACUCAAUCUUGAUAAAGCCAAAGACAUGAUUGCAAAUGCAGCACAUGAAACAAGGCUAUAUGCGUCUGGUUUCCCUUUCACUUCUUUAUCGAAGAAAAAAGCAUACACAGAAGUGAUCAUCAAAAUAAAAAAGGCCAUGUGAGCUUCCACCCGAGGAGAGGUGGAGCACUCCCAAACCUUUGCAAACAAGACAGUAAGGCAGAUAAUGAAACUAAAACCAAUGUAAAGUAAUAUCUUCCACCAUGUCCACUUUCCAAAUAGAUUAUUGAAAGAAGAGCUGAAAGCGUAACAGAGCAGUCCAACAACAGAUGAAAAGAAACACACAAAUCUCCAUACCUUUCGCUUCUGCAGCCAACUCUGAAUAUUGAUCAUGAUCAACAUGAAGACCAUGCCUCUUUCUCAAGCUAGCAAAGUUUGUAUUCUGGAAAAUAGAAGCUGAUAGCCACCACCAGUUUUGACUUGGGAUAAGAUAAACCCUUCAUCUUUUCAUAGAAAUUUCAAGGAAAGGGAAUGGAAAGUGAAAGCUACUAAGUUUCUAUUAAAAUAGUGAAUUAUAAUUUUCAAAAAAUUUAUAAUUGAUGCACCAGCGCGAAAGAAAAGUGGUCUCACUAAUAAAAGUAUAGUGACGGUUGACUUCUGCAGUGCUUUGCAUGAUGAGGACCAAUUAAUACGUGUAACAUCCAAUUUUUCAUUUUUCAUGAAAUAAAUUAAAAUAAAUAGAAUUUUAAAAAAAUAAUAAGUUUUUCGUAAUUAAAAAAAUAAGAGAAAUAUUUUAAUUAAUUAAAAUAAUAAUUUUAAGGUAACUAAAAUAAAUAUAUGCUUUUAGAAAAAAAUAUAUUUUUAUUUAUUCAUUUGAGAGAGACUAAAAUAGAUUUUCUUCAUAUUAAAUGAUAAAAUAAAAAAAAAAUAAAGUAAAUAUUCCCAGAAUAUACUAGUUAUAAAUAGAGGCUUAAUAAGUCACCUUUUAUGUUUAUGACAUGUCUUCGCGCACUCUCUUCUUCUCAAAUUUGUUUUUCCUCCUUCCUUUCUCAAACCCCCCCCCCCCCCCUUUUUUUUACUUACACUCAAACUUGUCUGAGUAAAAUGACAACGAUCCCAGAAUCGCUAACCAUUGGAUCCUCCUGAAAUUUGAACGUGUGGUUCAGAACUUAUUUUCGCACAUAUCCACUGUUGGGAUUUUUGAGAUAAUAUCUAUGGUGGAAGAAAUAUCCCUUGCACCGAGCUUUCUCUUUUCCUGCAGACACCCAAAACCUGUCCUAGUAAAAUUAUGAUCUUGGACUCAUCAAUCGUUGGAUCGUUGUAGAAUUUGAACACCACCUUUGGAACACAUUUUCACCAUUGUGAUUUGCGAAUUAAUGAUUUUGCAGAGAUAAAUUAGUCUCACACGUUGACAGUAAAAUAGAGGCUACAAUCUCUUCCCCUUCUCUCUAACACUUGAAAACUCUAACAAAGCAAACAUGAGAAAAGUUUGAGGAAUCUUAGGAAACAACUAGAGAUGUCGCUAUCACUGUGGAACUACACACGUGAACCCGCUUAGAGGUAAUGGAUGAGUUUAUCACAAUAGGGGUUAGAAUGAACAUGUGUAGAGAUCUUUAGGGGAUCAAAUUGAGGUUUAUUUUGGGAUGUUUAUUGUAUUAUAAUUCUUCAUGUAUAAUUAUAAUUGCCAGGAUUUUAUAUUGGAAUCAUGAAAUUGGGUGUAUAUGAUAAUUUGAAUAUGUGAUGAAUUAUGAGAUAACAUGUUGCAUUGAGAUCAUAAAAUUGUUAUUGAGAUUGGGUAUAAGUGCAAAGUUGAACAUGAUGUGAUGGUGGAUUAUGACAUUAUGAGAUGUUAAAUUGUAGAUAUGAGAUUUGACUUUGAAUAAGUGUAUGAUUAAUACUUGAUGAUACAAUACUUGUGUUGUGAGCUGUGAAUUAUACAAUAACUCGAUUGGUGUUUACCUUGAGAAAAGUGAUUAUGCGCAGUGUUAAAGGGAAAGUGUAGGAUUCCUAGUUAGGAACCUAAAGUGUUAAAUUUUAACGCAAUGUGUUAAACAUGUUUGAAACACGAGUGUGAGGUCGUGGUUAUUGUAUAAUUCAUUAGCAGUGUUUGGGUGUAAAAAUUAUUUUAGGGGUUGGACCUGAAUCAGGAAGGUGAGGCCCUAACAGAUUCUUUGAAGUCUAGGCCAUAGGGGUAAAGACACUCGGUUUGAGUGUUCCUUUAAGUCUAUGUUGAUCCCAUAUAGUUGGAAUAUUCUCACAAAAUAUAGUAACAUUGACUGGUCACCUUAUGAUUUCUUAUGAUUUUACUUAGUGAGAGUCACCUAACAUACCCAUUGUAUGGUGUGUCUUGUUAUGCACUCCUAAGCGCCCCAGUGUGGUUUUUCACUAACAUGGUACCGCAUUACAUAUAGCUUGAGUCUUAGUAUAAUUGUUCCAUAACAUCGGCUAAUUUUUUAUUAUGAAAUUGAUGAGUGUUCUUAUGUCUUAAUCCGAGUGUGUGAUUCAUGCGUAAUGUGAUUGAUGAUUGAAAAAUGAAUUUUAAAUGAUAAAAUGCUGAAAUGACGUGGAUUGUAUUAAGUUGAGCUAUGUUAUAAUUACUUUCAUGAUUUAUUUUGAUUACGUCUUUGUUUAUUUGUAUUUUUUUUAGAAAUGUGAAAACUCACUUCUUGUGUGCUAUUUGUGUUUGGAUCCUGUAAUGAUCUCGAACCUUGUGUUCGUGGGAGUAGAUGACUUUAAAGAACCACGUGCUAGAGGAUGCUGGGACACAAUGAUAUGAUAGAAUGUGACAUUGGGGAUGAGUUUUAUUUUAAUUGCAUGAUGUAAUUUAAUCACAAAAUAUACAUAUACAUAGUAGUUAUCAAGGCGCGACAUAUUAAAAUUAUUUUGAAAAUAAUUGAGGAGUCGUGUGUUUUGUAUAGUUCAUAGAUAGAGUAUGUGUGUUAAAAUAUUUUUUGGGUUGGAUUAGAAUAAGGAGAGAGAGGCCCUAACAGCCUCUUCAGAAUCUAGGGCUUGGGGAUAAAUACACCCGGUUUGAGUGUUCCUUUAAGCCAGUGUCAAUCCCACAUGGUUAGAGCAUUCUCGCAAAACAACAUGAUCCUGACUGGUCUCCCUAUGAUUUUACCUAGUGAGAAUGACCUGACUUACCAUGUGUAGUUUGUCUUGUCAUGUACUCCUAAGCGUCCGAUGAGGUUUUUCACUGACAUGGUACCACAUUGCAUAUAGGAUUGAGUCUUAGUAUAUCUAUUGCAUAACGCCUAUGUAAUUAUUAUAGCAAACAACAAACAUAAUAUAUGAUUAAAAAAAUACUAAAAUUUUGGUGUACAAAAAAAUAAUAUAUACAAUACUAAUAAUGAUCACUAUUAUUAGCUUCAUCAAUAAAAUCAUUUUCUUCAUCUUUUGCUAAAUCAAUAAUUUCAUCAUCACUUUCUUCUUCUUUGCGGUCAACAACUUCUGAAGGUAUAACUGGUUUUCCAUCAACUAUGGAACGGGCUAAAUCAUUCCUAUCCCAAGACAAUCCUUGAUCAUUAUGUAGGACAUUAGAUGUAAAGGGAAUCGAGCCAAUAUCAUCAUUUUCUUGACUAACCUCAAGUGUAGUUUUCUUAGGCACAUCAUACAAGUCUUAAGGCUUUGUUUUCUGAACAACUAACCAAUUAGGAUCUUUGGUACCUUUAACAUAAUAUACUUGUUGAGACUGAUUGGUCAAGAAAUAUGGCUCAUUAGUUCUUAAUUUAUGACUACUAUUAAUAAGAAAGAAUCCAUAUUUGUCAUUAGGAUACAUCUAAAGAUAUCUCAUUGGCCUAACAAUCCUUACCUCAUCUACCAAGUGAAUGGACAGAUGGAUCAUUAUGUCAAAAAAAGAAGGAGGAAAUAUUUUCUCUAACUUGCAUAAGGUUAGAACUAUUGUUCUUUGUAGCAAGUCUAAGUUCUCCAAACUCAAUGUCUAUACAAUUCCCCAAACUUACGUCCAUGUAUUGUUUCGGGCAAUCCAGGAUAACUAUCCAAACUAUUCCGAAACCCAAACCUAUGUAUUCCUGGUAUUGCAGGGUACUUAUCCUCAAGGGGAAUGGACCCUUCAAAGAUGCAUUCACAGAGUCUUCUUUCAUUGGGUAAAAUAUCCUAUCAGCUACGCACAAAGCUUUUAUAUAAAACUGGGUGUUGUCAAUUUUGAGCUCUAUCAACCAUGAUAGUAUCUCACACAGAAACUCCCUCCGCCAAGUAAUGUACAUGUCAAUGCAUUCCUCCUUUAACCCUGCUAUCACCAUCACCCUUACAUAUUCACGAAGGUCAUUGAUAAUAGCUGAUGUUAGAGAAUCCACCACCAAGUUGUCAUAGCAAUGCAAUUGCAGCACUGGAGUUUGGACAAGACUAGCUUUGAGGUAUUCCUCAUCAUGCUUGAAAAUUGUCAAAACAACUUUCUGAUUAUCCUUCUUAAGCGCCUCUAUGCAACCCAUGAACUGUUUCACAAUACUAUUGUUAUCACUAUCAUUAUUUCUUUGUUGUGAUUCAGUGACUUUGAAUCCUAGAUCCUCAAUUUCUGGAGAGGAAAUAGCUUCCUGUGCCAUGAUAACAAUAGCUUGGGACGUAUCUACUUGAGUAGUGCUAGAACUGGUUCUAGUUCCUUGUGAUUCUGAAUGUGAACCAAAUUCAAUGACUACAUGAUGAUGAUUUUGAUCUUGGAGUCCAUGAUACCCACUUCUCGCAGCAACCAAAGAGGAACGAAGAAUGACGAGGGAAUAACUGAAACUCCCUCCAACAAUGACUAACCAUAACUUUAUUUUCAUGAGUUGUAUUGUUAGGACUCCACUGAAAAGUGUAAAAGAUCAACCUCAAAACCGAAAUGACUCAAUCUUGAUAAAGCCAAAGACAUGAUAGCAAAUGCAGCACAUGAAACAAGGCUAUAUGCAUCUGGUUUCCCUUUCACUUCUUUAUCGAAGAAAAAAGCAUACACAGAAGUGAUCAUCAAAAUAAAAAAGGCCAUGUGAGCUUCCGCCCGAGGAGAGGUGGAGCACUCCCAAACCUUUGCAAACAAGACAGUAAGGCAGAUAAUGAAACUAAAACCAAUGUAAAGUAAUAUCUUCCACCAUGUCCACUUUCCAAAUAGAUUAUUGAAAGAAGAGCUGAAAGUGUAACAGAGCAGUCCAACAACAGAUGAAAAGAAACACACAAAUCUCCAUACCUUUGGCAUCUGCAGCCAACUCUGACUAUUGAUCAUGAUCAACAUGAAGACCAUGCUCUUUCUCAAGCUAGCAAAGUUUGUAUUCUAGAAAAUAGAAGCUGAUAGCCACUACUAGUUUUGACUUGGGAAAAAAUAAACCCUUCAUCUUUCCAUAGAAAUUUCAAGGAAAGGGAAUGGAAAUUGAAAGCUACUACGUUUCUAUUAAAAUAGUGAAUUAUAAUUUUCAAAAAUUUAUAAUUGAUGCAUACGCAAAAGAAAAGUGAUUUGACUAAUAAAAGUAUAGUGACGGUUGACUUCUUUCAGUGCUUUGCAUGAUGAGGAAGAAUUGAAUAUGAGUAAAGAUGAACCGGUCGUCAGGUCUACCUCCAUAAUUUGACCAGUUCAAUCCUAAGUUGCUGAUGUCACUAGGUGCUAGCUACGCUGCUGAUAUCAUGAGGUUUAAAUACAUUUGCAAUUGGGUAAAUUUUACUCUAUUUUUUUCAGUUUAAUUUCUUAUGUUUUGAAAGGUUGAAUUGUGUUUCUUAAAGUCUUUUCACAAAUAUUUUAUAAAGACGCAAUGAAGGAAGACAAACAAAGCAACUCACAAAUUUGAAGACUUUCAACAACCCAAACCAAAGGUAUCGUCCUAUGGAUGAAGUAUAGUUUUGUAAAUCUUGUUUUGAAAAAUUUGGUAAACACUGCAGAGUUAGCAACUCUGCAAACAGGUUGAAUCCAAGAUCGAGAUUAAUUGUUUUGUAAAAAUGGAUGAUGUGAUCGAAGAGAAUCUUCAGGAUUAUCCUAAAAAGUUUGAGUUGUUGAAAAGUGAUAAUAAAAAAUUGAACAAAAUUAAUGACAAGUAAAAGAGAACAUUAAGAACUUGCAAAAAGUAAUAAACAAAAGACAAAAUUACAAAAUUGGUCUCCCACUUUAUCUCCAGUUUCAGAUUUGGUCCCCCAGUUUUUUAAUUCACGAAUUUUGUCCUCCUAUUUUGUAAAAUCUUGCAAUGUUGGUCCCACAGGUCACAAUUGGACGUUGAUUGUCACGUGUCAACGUCUGAUAGGCACGUAAAAAGGUUUGCGAUUUUACCAUCUGUGUUUUUUACCCCAACCCUAAAGCUUGGUUUUUGGAACCGCUAUCCCAUAAACCGCAAACCUGUGCCUGAAGGUUUCACUGUUCGUGUUUGUUGGUGGUUGUGGUGUGCGUGAAGAAUCGUUGUUGAACGUCGUAGGAACAUGAAAGUGGUUUUCGUUUUCAAGUUAUGUUAUUUGUGGUGUUUGUUUGUUGAUGUGGUCCAGAGAGUGGUUUUGUGUAUUUGUGUGGUGGUUGUGUGUGGUCCCAAUUUUGUGUUUGACGGGGUUUGUGCUUUAAUUUUUUUUUUUUUUUGUGGUGGUCCCUUAUGUGUUGAGUUGGAAACAUGAAUAUUGGUUUUUUUUUUGUGGUGGUGGUCCCGAUUUUGGCUUUUGUUUUUGUUUUGUUCGAAAACCUUUGGUGGUGAGUGUUGUUUUGAUUAAUUUUUUGUGCUUUGUUGUCGUUCGUGUUUUUCACAGGCCAACCGAAGAACAAACAGCGAGGUUAAAUAUUCACCAUGGAGAAAUGUUUAUUUAUAAGUCAUCUGUGAUACCCUCUACCCCAUACAUAUAUAUAUACGAAUAAAAGAAAAAGAAAUCAUAAUUAGUUAAAAGUUUUUAAAACACAUUUAAAUAAAAUCCUUUCAACAGGGUAAAAGACUCACAUUCACUUUCUUUUACAUCAUAUUCAAACUUGUCCAAAUAAAUAAUAAAGUCAUCUCGGCUCAAACUAGGCCGCCUAAGACUUCAUACAAUUAAUAUAGAAACCUAUACCCCAAUGUCACAUCCUAUCAGAGAUUAUGUCCCAAUGUCCUUCAGUACAAGGUUCCUUAAAGCAAUUCAGCUAGUCAUCCUCAUCUAACAAAAAUGCAUAACAAAACUCUUAGCACAAAACAUGAUUCCUAAAGGUCAAUAGAAACCUUAUGAUACACCCCAUAAUCCAACUUAACUGGAAACACACUAAACACUAAUCAUCGAAACCACUAUAAGAGCUAAUUCAGGGUGGGAGAUCCUGUCCAUGCAUCCCAUGAACACACAAAGGCAUUGAUCUUAUCAAGACAUGAUCAGGUACACAUAAAAGGCCACGAAAGAUACUAAGGUAGUCAUUGGAGUAUCCUCAGACUUUUCCUAUAUUAAGGUAAGGAGAACUAAGAUUUAUCUCGCUAAUCAUACAACUAUCAUCAAUAAUCCUCUAAGUCACCUACCUUACGCAAUAACACUCACUCUCGAACCCUUCCAUGCUUAGCAAUUAAUGCCUUACUAAAUACCUUACACUCUUCUUAAGGUUUCACACUAAAUCUCUUAACUAUUCUUCACAACUUUUUCAACUACUAUAUAUUCUUAAACAACUCUUUACCAGUUAUCUCCUCUCGAAACACCUUAACAUGAUUAACAAGAGCGAAGUAUCUCUCUAUUCAUAACAAAAGUAAUAACAUGACAGAUUAUCAAGCAAUUUGACAAGACAUGAUUGGAAGAUGAGCAACCAAUAACAAAAUAAACACUCAAUUAAUUAGGAGGCGACAAUUUUAAAUCAAGAAUGAUCACUUAUUCAUAAUUAACAACAAAUAUUCCGAAAGAAAUAUAUAAACGAAAACAUGAACACAAUGUACACCCAUAUGGAGAUGUUGUAACAUCCUAGAAAUUUCUACCCGGAGUUUUCGGAAACGAUGUAUUUUGAAUGAUUAUAUAUAUAUAAGUAUUAUUCAGUGUAUAUGCAUAUAUAUGUUCUUGGUAGAAAUAGGAGUAGUGGGGGCAAGAUAUGCGGAUUAGGCUAAUUAAGGAAGAGAAAUCCAUAACUGGGAGGUUAUGGGUUAAUUCCUAAUUAAUUAGUUAAAAAUCAUCGUUUUGCGUGCGACUUAAAAUUCAACGAAACCAACCUCUGAACCACGCUCGGGGUUCUAUUCUGAGCGUUUUGAUAUAUAUAUUGGUUACUUUCGAAAAUUGGCCCCGACGAACGCAGAGAAACGCAAGGAACUGGAACCAGAGAAACGACACGCAAACCGAGGCAGGAUUUUAGCGUUUCAAAGGUCAGAUUUUCUCACUUUUGUGAUUGAGUAUAGGUCACAAUCAAAAGAGAAAGUGGGCCCUUUUUGCUCCACUCAAAUGGGGACAUGUGGCAGAGCUUGAAUAAAAUAAUAGAAAAAGAGAAAACCCUUUUUAUUUAAAACCAAAAAGCUUUUCUCUCUCUUCACUCAGCCCCCACACUUUUUCAGACAGCUCUCUCUCUCCCUCACGUUGCCAUUUUCUUCUCCCUCAUUCUCCAUUGAAGCUCCAAACAAAGCUUCAACCUUUGGCCAUCAUUUCUGCCCCAAAUCGCGAAAGGAGGGCAUUUUUGGAGUCGUGAAGUGCGUGGCUACGAGUCGGACUUCGAAAUUUCAGGUUUGGGUGGACUUCUUUCUCCUUUGAUUUUCGUGGGUAUGGGGUUUGGGGAGAUAUGAUGGGUAGUCUUGCUAGGUUUCUGCUGUGUGAUGAUUAUUUGUGAAGACAUUUGUUGAAAGCUUGUUGAAACUGCCAUGUUUGGAUGAGUUAGACAUACCCAUUCUAUUUUAGGGUUUUUGUGAUGAUGUUUGUGAUGUUUAUAUGCUGAAAUUGCCCAUGGAAAACUGUUAGAGAUGAAAUGUAGAGUUAACCUAGGGUUGGAAAGUGAGAAUGUGGUGUUAUGAGUGGAAAAAGAGUGAGGCGUUGAGAGUUGGAAGGCUAAGUCUGAAUUCUGUGGUAAAUGGAGGUUAAAGUGAGUUAAUCCUAGCUUGAAAUAUCAUUUAGGACUUAUGAGAAAGCUUGGACUGUGCUAGAGAGAAAAAUAAAUGACCAAAGUGAACAAAGAGCCAUUUCUAGGGCAAAUUUGGGUGUUGAAGAGUCAAAUUUUAAUUCGGUGAGAUUUUAGGUGUAAAUCCAGUUUGAGCAAGUCUAAAUAGAUGUUAUGGACUGGUGUGAGGUGAGAGUUUGCUUCAAAUUUACCUCAUUCUAAAUUUCACUUUUCAAACCUAGAAAACCCAUUGAAUUGAGGGGUUGUGGACACCUAGAUUCUGUGUUGCUGUGUUUUGAAGCUUGACUUUGGGUUAGACAUGGUUGAUACAUGAUUUGGGACUUGUAGGAAUUGAUUUGGGCAAGAUUGGAUGAGGGAAAGUGGAAUUUUCGAAAUCUGCACUUAUGCAGAAUUUUGCUGUCAAAAUAGGUGCAACAGGAUUUUGGUUUGUGCAGAAAAAUGCUUGUGUGUGGUUGGCUGUGGAAAGAGCAGUGCAGAAUGAGUUUUGGAUGUUUUCUAGUAGAUCCCAACGGUCAAAAUGUAGGCUUAAGUACUAGAGACUUCCAGUAAAAUUUUCGAGUCGAUCCAACGGUUAACGAAUUGGAACGAAGGAAUUGUUACUGGGGUCUUUAAGUGAGAAAAGCUGUGAUUUUGGUUGGUGUUUUGGCAGAGUUGUCUGCCUUUGCUCUGUUUUGCUUGGCUGUGAUAGCUUGUGCUGUUUGAAUGUUGUUUUGCUUGGAUGUUGUGGAAGCUUGGGAGGAUUGAUGGGGACCCGGUGUUGAGAGAAACGAGGAUAUGGGCUACGUGGGAGUACGUGAGCUCAGAUGGAGGUGGGCAACAGGGGAUGGUGGGUUUAUGCGCGCAUUGUGGAUGUGGAAAACUUGUUGUGCACCAUCGCCCGACCGCCACCUAGUACCACAUGUGAUGAGUACCCCAUAAUCCUACAGGCUUGAGAUGAGGAAGUGUUGAAGGGUGAAACUUCCUGCUUUUAUUGUUGACCACAGAGUGGUACCUGAAGAUAUGUCGCGGGGGUCAGGAGACCUUGGGGACGUCAGGUGGGGUGCUAAUACCCAAAACCAAGCUUGACCAAUCCCGACCCAACCCGGGCAUAGUCGGUCAGUGAGAACCUGUGAUGUACCUAAGCAGGCGAGCUCCUGGCAAUCAACAGAUAAAAGGAACAAAGACCACAAAGCAAGGGGGCUUGUGGUGGCUGGCCAGCUGUGAAUUUUGUGUGAUAUGUGGAUUAUGGCCUCUGGUAAUCGAUUACCAAGGGUGGGUAAUCAAUUACAAGGCUUAAAAUUAAAGACAGGAGGCUAAGAUGGUCUCUGGUAAUCGAUUACCACGGGGUGUAAUCGAUUACCAGGCUUGAAAACGAAGUCAGGAAACUAAGGGAGCCUCUGGUAAUCGAUUACCAGCCUGUGUAAUCGAUUACACAAAGGGAUGGGUCACUGGUAAUCGAUUACCAGGUAUGUGUAAUCGAUUACACAGUGCAUUUUUGCAUAUUUUAUGUCCUGAGGCUGUGUUAUUCAAGUUUAGCCUCUGGUAAUCGAUUACCAAGUCUGUGUAAUCGAUUACCAGAGAUGAAAAGCCUUAAAAUACCCCUUUUAAUUGCAUGUAGUGGUUAUGAGACGCAUUGUGUGGCGGCAUAGUAGAUUCUUGUGAAAGAGUCUACCCCUUUCUCUUCUUUCUUGUAGAUCGUGAUGGCGGCGCAGCUAAUCCGUGAUCGAGUAGAGAUGGAAUGCCUAGAGGGAGCUUGGGAGACCCUCGAAGGCAACACGAGGUGCCGAUUUCGGGGCACUAUUCGAUUUACGGUGACUUCUUUAGUGCAUCCAGAUGAGCCCGCACGGACGCUUCAGCGCACGGUGGAGUGGAUACUACCCACGCCUACACCAUAUCGUCUAGUGGAGCCCGUCCAAGUGAUCGAGGUAACGUCAUCCGAGGAAGACCCUGAGGAGGAUCUGGAGAAGCUACCUCCUGAGCCUGCUGUGGAUGCCCUUGACUUUCUAGAGGGUGAUGAGGAUCCACUUCUUGAGGUGGAUUCUCCCGAGGAAGUCAUGUCGGCAUCUGAGGCAGACUCUACGGAGGAUGGUGGCCCGGGGGAGAUGGCGAUCAGCGGAGGCUCUUCAUCCUAGUGGACAGCUCUUUGGAUUCGUUUUGUAUAUUUUUGAGGGUGGGUGUAUCUAGGACUGACUGUUAGGUUUACUCUUUUGUUUUUGUAUGGGUAGACCUGAUGUAUAGGAAUUUGAUGAUUGUAUACAUAUGGCUGAAGCCACCACUAUGAACACCUUUGCUCUGGAUGACACUAUGUAUUUUGUAAAACUCCCAUAUUUUGGACAGCUUUAAAUGAUGAAUGCAUUUAUGAUCGAUCUUGUUAUUUGAAAAGAAAGCAUUAGCAACUUUAUUUGUAAAAGAGUUUAUCGACCGUAUUUUAUUCUUUUAUUUUCAUGUGACGACCUAAAGUAAUGGCUGGUACAUUCUUCCUUUGAAACAGCAAAAUAGUUUAGAGAUUAUGAGCGGUAAGAAAGAAAUGACUCCGAAUAGAGUUGUGAACUGGCCAUUCAGGACUCUGUAUGAGGAUUUUCCUUCUAAACCUAGUUAUGGUGAAAAGAGAAAGAAAUGAAAAAGAAAAAGAAAAAAAAAAUUUACCAUGGUUUUUGUUAUUUAAAUUAUUACUAUUAAACCAGUCAUUAAUUUAGGGACGCCACAGAUGUUAACAAUCAUUUGAUUGUGAUAGAAACAUCAGUAAUAAAAAACUAUUUGACGUAGGCUCACAACACAAAGAAUGAGUUAUACUAUGGCUUGCAAGCAUAAUCGAAUUACUUGACUUCAACACGCAACACAAGAAAAUAGGUUGCACUAGAAUUGGAAGGUAUAGUCAAAAUAGUAUUCCUUAUGAAAUAUAUCCCGAUAUGGGUCAUCAAACUAUAAGGUAUUAGCAUCGCUAAGAACAAGAAAUCACAAACAACCAUAUUAUCUAUACAAUUAAGGGAGAACACCUUACUACAAGCACACAUAGAAUUAUAAGGUUUCUAUAACGACUAUAUAGCAUACAUAUAAGGAGUAAGAAUUAAAAAGUCACUAGGAUGUAUUUAACGAAUCACAAGUUUCAACAAUCACGUUUAUGAUCACCCACUAAGAAAAGAAGGGAUUAGCCAACACAUGUUAACACAUUGAUUAAACACACUCAUUCACAACACACCUGCAAGUUCAAGGUUCUUGACGACAUUGAUACACACAUCAAGUUUUCAAGAUAACUUAUAUCACUUAAUGGCUUGCCAUGACAUCCUACCGCACUUCACAAAUAAUAGAGAUGACUAGUCUCAUAACUCAUGACUCAAUAGUGGAUUUAUGGUAUAGUAGACAUUAAGGAUGCAAUACACAUCACAAGCAUCAUUCAGUCUCAUUUAAUCAUCCAAGAAAAAAAACAAUUAAUAAUUCAAGCAUGCUCAACAAAAAUAUUCAUAAGUAAUCACAGAGAGCACACACCAGAAUAUGGUAAGCACAUAACACACUGGCCGAAAGGUUCGACCUGCUUUGAUACCACUAAAUGUGACACCCUCUACCCUAUACAUAUAUGUACUAAUAAAAGAAAAGAAAUCAUAAUUAAUUAAAAGUUUUAAAAACACAUUUAAAUAAAAUCCUUUCAACAGGGUAAAAGGCUCACAUUUAUUUUCUUUUACAUCAUAUUCAAACUUGUCCAAAUAAAUAAUAAAGUCAUCUCAGCUCAAACAAGGCCGCCUAAGACUUCAUACAAUUAAUAUAGAAACCCAUAUCCCAAUGUCACAUCCUAUCAGAACAUUGUGUCCCGACAUCCUUCAGCACAAGGUUCCUUAAAGCAAUUCACCUAGUCAUCUGCUCCCCCGAACACAAAGUUCAAGAUCAUCACAGGAUCCAAACACAAACAACAUAUAGAGAGUGAGUUAUCACAUUCCUAACUAAUAGAGAAACAAGAUAACUAGAUAUACAUAUCAUAUAAAUGAGAUACAACUUACUUAAACAUAACUCUCAUAAUUCCACCCCUUUGUCAUUUAAAAUUCACUUUUCAAUCAUCAAUCACAUUACACAUGAAUCACAGACUCCGAUCGAGACAUAAUAACACAUCAAUUUCAUAAUAGACAAUUAGGAAGCGUAUGGAACAAUUAUACUAAGACUAAAGCCUAUAUGCAAUGUGGUACCGUGUCAGUGAAAAACCACCCUGGGACGCUUAGGAGUACAUAACAAGACACACCACAACAUAGGUAUGUCAGGUUACUCUCACUAAGUAAAAUCAUAGGGAGACCAGUCAGGGUCACGCUGUUUUGCGAGAAUGUUCCAACCAUGUGGGAUCGACAUAGGCUUAAAGGAGCACUCAAACUGGGUGUAUUUACCCCUACACUCUGAAGAGUCCGUCAGGGCCUCUCCCUCCUGAUUCAGGUCCAACCCCUAAAAUAAUUUCUUGCAUGCAGACACUGCUCAUGAAUUAUACAAUACUCACGACCUCACACUCGUGUUUUAAACGCGUUUAACACAUUGCACUACAAUUUAACACUGGUUCCUAAAUAAGAAAGCUACACUUUCUCUUUAACACUGGUUCCUAAAUAGGAAACCUACACUUUCUCUUUAACACUGUGCAUAAACACUUUUCUCAAGAUAACACUGGUCGGGUUAUUGUAUAAUUCACAACUCACAACACAAGUAAUAUCACAUCAAGUGUUAACCACACACUUAUUCAUAACUAAAACUUGUUCACAAUUUCGCAUCUUAUAAUGUCACAAUCCACCAUCACAUGUUUACAUGUAUAUCACAGAUUAACACAUAUUCAACUUUGCACUUAUACUCAAUCUCAAUAACAAUAUUAUAUUCUCAAAGCAACAUGUUAUUCCAAAAUUCAUCACAAAUUCAAUUAACUACAACAAAUUUGUUAAAUAAUGGAGGUUAUUUUUUCGUUUAGUGGAGGUUUUUACCCUCCACAAAAUAAAUUACGGAGGUUUUCAAAAACCUCCGCAGUUAGAUUCGCCACAAGCAAUUAGCGGCGGUUUUCGAAAACCUCUGGUAUUGAGAAUAUUUUGCAGAGGUUUUUUUGUAGAGGUUUUAAACCUACGCUAACUAUGGAGGUUUUUUAAAGAAGGUUUUAAACCUACGCUAACUGUGGAGGUUUAUUGGAAGAGGUUUUUAUACCUACACUAAAUAUGGAGGUUUUUUGUAGGAGGUUUUAAACCUAUGCUAAAUGCGGAGGUUUAUUAAAAGAGGUUUUAAAACUAUACUAUGGAGGGAUUUUUUUUAAAUCAUGCUAGCAAUAGAUGUUUUACAAUUGAUUUUCUAAUUCUCCUUAUUUUCUUGUAUAUAAUGAUUUUGUAUACUCAUUUUAGUUUCAUAAUCUACAUGUAUUAUAAUUUUUCAUUUUCUUAUGAUAUCGAUAAAAAAAAUGUAAUAAAAAAACUCAUAAUGAGGACAUAGAAAUUAUAUUUCAAUAACCAAAAUAAUAGCAUAUAGUUCAAAGAUUUAUAAUUUAAAUUUCUAUUGUAAAUCAAAGUAUGACAUAAAAUCCAUAACAAAGUAAUAUUAGUAUUGUACUAAACUUUUAAUUUAAAUCCAAAAUACAUUAUAAGCAACUAAGGGUUGCUAGCACCAGAAGAUCCUCUUGCAUCCAAAGGUGUAUUAGGAACACUUGAAGCAUCAUUUGGCUGAAAUAAGAAAAAAAAAACACUUAGUCACAUAUACUAUAUACAAGGGUGUAUCACACAUACUAAAUCAUAAUGACCCUUUGUUCUUGCAUAUAAAAUAUGUUUGUUCAACAACAUUAAAUUUGCGUCUCAUUCCAUAAAAUACAAAGAUCAAUUCCUCCUGAAACGUCGAAACACAAGAAGUGUGGCUGUGCAUCAAUUAGAUCUCUUUAAUUCCCUUACAAAUUAUUCUUUAAAAUAACUUAUGUUUAACCAAAAAUAUCAAUAGCUGACUUCAUUGUAUAUCACACGCAUAACUAAGAGUUUGUAUUAUACACAUUCAAUAGGUUGUUAGUGACGUGUGCAACUCCUAUACUAAGCAUGAUAAAAAAAAACUCCUAUACGUACCAAAAAACUCCUAAAGAGAAUGUCCCCUUGGCUGUUUAUUAAUAGUGAUCAAUGUUUAAUUACAGUAAUAACCUAAUCCCUUAAUUGUAGGGAUAAUAAUCAAGAUAAAUCAAUUACAUACAAAUAGUAAGUAGGAAACUAAAUCAAUAAUGUAAAUAAGGAAACAAUCAUAUCAAAAUGAUGUCUUAUCCCAUUGGUUGAAUGUCAAUGCAUUAUCCCCUAACUGGAGUGCACAAUUUAGGGUGAUUAACAAUUAACAUCAGCUAGUGGAAUUGAUUCUUCUAUUCUGAAAAUGGCGCAUAGAAUUUAUCGUAUAUAGUAUAGAGCUAGAGAGAGAAAAGACUAUCAAGGCUUGUAAACUAGCAUAUCAAUUAAUAAUAAAUAAAAAAUUAAGGGGCCCCAAUUAUAACAAGAAUGUUCUGCACCAAAAAAUGAAGGAUAUAAUCUCUAUCACGAGGCCAAAAUCUAAAUGAAGUAUUUUUUCUCUGCACCGCACCGCACUACACAAACAUCCAUGAUUUCUCACGCAUACACAUUGCAAAACAAAGGAAAGAAAUACCAGAGUAAAAUAAAAAUAAUGCCUAGACAAUACACAUGCCAGAAGAUAAGAUAUAUUAAAAUAAAAUAAAAAUAGUGCUUCCGAAGAUAACUGCGCAAUACCUGGCCUUAUUUUCUCUUUGAAUCCUUCGAAUCUCUCCGAAGAUAACUGCCCUCUGCAAUAGCAAGCAAAACACAUGCUUGUAUCAAGUGUGUAUUGAUUUUGUCCAAAUAUAUACAUAAAAAAAAGAAAGAAAAAAACAAAGAUGAUGAUUCGAUUAAUUAAAACAAAAAUAAGAAAAGAGCAACGGACCUUUGAACAAAGAGAGGAAGUACCUUUGAAGAGAGGGGAUUUGGGAAGCGAGAGAAGAAAAGAAAAAUCAAAGCCUGGAACGAGAAACCGAGAGAAAUUUUGGGGGUAAUCCGAAGAGAGGGAUUUUGGGAAUCUUUAAUGAAGAGAAAUAGGAAGUUGUGACUGAAAGAGGGAUUUUGUAAUUUUUUUGAGAGGGAAUUUUUUUUUGAGGGGUUUUGUGAUUUUUUUGAGAGGGAAUUUUUUUGGAGGGGGUUUUGUGAUUUUUUUGAGAGGGAAUUUUUUUUAGGGGUUUUGUGAUUUUUUUGAGAGGGAUUUUUUUUUUGAGGGGUUUUGUGAUUUUUUUGAGAGGGAAUUUUUUUUGGAGGGGUUUUGUGAUUUUUUUGAGAGGGAAUUUUUUUUUUGAGGGGUUUUGUGAUUUUUUUGAGAGGAAUUUUUUUUUUUUGCCGGAAAGAAAACAUGAUUUAUUUUAUUUUAAAGAGAAAAUAGUGGGAAAAUAAUAUUUAAUUAGCAGAGGUUAUAAACCUCCACAAAUUAAGCACAAAAAAUUGUAGUUUUUAAUAAAUUAUGGAGGUUUUUAAAACCUCCGCAAAAUAAGCACAAAAAAUUGUAGUUUUUAAUAAAUUAAGGAGGUUUUUAAAACCUCUGCAAAAUAAUCUCCAUUAUUUAACAUUUUUUUUUGUAGUGAUUUAUAGACACUGCUCAUGAAUUAUACAAUACCCACGACCUCACACUCAUAUUUUAAACACGUUCAACACAUUGCGCUACAAUUUAACACUGGUUCCUAAAUAGGAAACCUACAUUUUCUCUUUAACACUACGCAUAAACAUUUUCUCAACAUCAACACUGGUCGGGUUAUUGUAUAAUUCACAACUUACAACAUAAUUAUUGUCACAUAAGUGUUAAACACACACACACACACACACACUUAUUCACAACCAAAUAUCAUGCCCACAAUUUAACAUCUCAUAAUGUCACAAUCAAUCAUCUCAUAUUUAUAUGUAUCUCGCAAAUUGACACAUUCCACUUUGUACUACUCAAUCUCCAUAAUAAUAUUAUAAUGUCAUUAUAAUAAUUUAUUAUACCUCAUAACUCAUAUACACAUCACACAGUAAUCAUAUUUGCAUGACACAAAACAUAUAUAUAUAUAUAUAUAUAUAUAUAUAUAUAUAUAUAUAUAGUAAAUCAAGCUACAUUAUUUUUAAUCAAAAGAGUUUUUAUAACAAUUAAUUUAAUAUUACAUCAAAAGAAAUUACCACUAGGCAUUAACCGUACAACUUUCUUUAAUUUAUUAUUUUAGUAUUACAAUAAAUAUAUACACAUAACAUGUUGAUCAUCGUCUUAGAAAAAAUCAGAACAAGAUAAUAAUUUGUAUAAAAUAAGUCAUUGAAUAAUAUUAUUUAGAAUAUAAUUCACGUUAAUAAAAAGAGCUCAAUUUUUUUAAGGGUUCACACUCAACACAAGAACACAUCAAUUUCACAGCAAUUUCUCAUUGGGACAUCUGCUGGUUUAUCAAACAUAUAUAAUUCACAGUUAUAAUUGUAAGGAUAAAAUAAAAAAUUACGGAAACACCCCAAAACCCAUUCCAAUUGAUACUCUAAGGAUCCCUACACAUGUUCUCACUAAUCCUCAAUUGUGAAUAACUCAUCCCUUACCUUAUAGUCACUCAAGCGUUCUCGGUUUUCAAUUGUGGCAUUUUUGGUGCUCUCUAGAGCUCCUCCUCCGGUUGCUCUGUUAGGGUUCCCAAAUGUUUGAGAGAAGGAGAAGGGAUUGAAGGUGUUCGAUGCAACUUUGUCUGUUCAUAGGAAUUCUUUUGUAAAUCCUAACACUGAAGGUGUGCGGAAUUAAAUUGUGAACCACAUAUCAAAAUUUCACCAUAAUCCAACGCUUAAUGAGUUCAGGAUCAUAGUUUUACCGUGAAAGUUCUGGGUUUCUGAGGGAAAGAAAAGGUUACUAUGCGAAGGGUAUUUCUAUCACCUUCAACAUCUUUUCAUAAUUCCUAACGGUGAGAAGGCUCAGAAUUGAGUUACGAGCCUGAUGCUUAAUUUUCACGAUGAUCUAACAGUGAAUGAGUUCGAGAUCGUCAUUUUUCUGAGAUAGGUUUGGUGGUAUGCGGGAAAAAGAGAGGGUUUUGGGAGGAGGAGAGGGAAAAACGAAAUUGAGAGUAACAGGAAGCAUUUUAUAAAAAAGAAUUUUAUUUUAUCCCUAUCAAAUGAAUAAAUAAAAUACCUUUUUUUCUUCUCUCAUACCAUUAUUUUAAUUAAUAAAAUUAUUUCUCCUUAUUUAUUUAAUUACAAAAGCCUCAUCAUUUUUUUUAAAACUCUAUUUAUUUUAAAUGAAAAACCUUUUUAAUUUAAUUCACGAAAAAUGGAAUGUUACACCAUCUACUGUAUAUGUCAAUGGUGAGAUCAUUGAAGAAGAAUGAGUUUGGGAUGUGGAUACUAUGUCAUAUAUUGACUUGAUGAAGGUGAUUAAGUCUAUCGGGUACAAAGCAUUCAAGUGCUUAUGGUACAGGCACCCCCUAAAAGCACUUUGUAGAGGGUCGAAGCAACUUAAUUGUGACUCUGAUAUUUUGCAAUUGGCUGAAGAUGUUUCUAGGUUAAUGUGGUUGAAGUGUAUGUGGAAGAGGGGGUGUUUGACAAAUCUGAAAAAAAGUUGAAUGAUUUUAAGGGAGAUGAGGUUGUUGUAAUUGAUGGAGUGGAGGUUGAAUCAGUUGUGGAGGGUGAAGAUGAGGCUGAGGUUGAGGUGGAGGCUGAGGUUCAGCUUUAUGAGGAAGGUUUGGUGGAGGUGAGGUGCAGGGUGAAGAUGAGGCUGGUGUUGUAGGUGAGAUGGAGGUUGUUGUUGAGGGUGUGGAUGAUGAUGAUGUGGGGGCUGAAGAAACUCAUGAUGAUGAUAAUAUUGGGGCUGAUGAAGAUGAUAAUGAUAGCAGCGACUGUAGUGAAGUUUCAGAUAGUGACUUUGAAGAAAGCUCGGAUUGGACUGUCAGACAUUUAGUCAAAGUACUGACCCCACAUUUGAUACUAAUAAAGUAGACUCAACAAAUUGUGAUUUUGCUGAUGAAGGUGGAUAUUCUUAUGAGUUGGAUACUCCAUCUGGAAGUGAAGAUGAAGGUCCCCCAAAAGUUAGAUUUCCUUGUUUUAAGGUGCCUGAAAAUGAUGAAGAUAUGAAGUUUGAUGUUGGGUUACAAUUCAGUAGUAAGAAACAAAUUCUAGAGGAGGCUUUGUAAUGCACUCAUUAAGUUUUUAGCAUUUGCUGUAAUUAAAGUCUGAAAAAUAUCAAACAAUUAUGACCUCAUCUACAAAUGUUGUCAAGACAAAUCUCUGAAGUUUAUUACAAUGUUAUAUCUGGCUUGUUUUCAUUUUGUUUACCCUAUUUUCAUUUUGGAACUUGCUUUCCUGUCUAUGUUCAUUAAGGAGGCUUUGUAAUGCAGUCAUUAAGUUUUUAGCAUUUGCUCUAAUUAAAGUCUGAACAAUAUCAAACAAUUAUGAGCUCAUCUACAAAUGUAGUCAACACAAAUCUCUGAAGUUUAUUACACUGUCAUAGCUACCUUGUUUUUUGCAAUAUGGUGAUACUACAAAUAUCGUGGGAUACUACAAAUCUAACAGUUUAGUAAGAUUUAUGAUGAAGCUCCAAAAAUAACCAUCAUUGUAAUUCGUUUUGUUCAUGUUUCCUAGUUAAGGAAUAAGUCUACACUCUACAAGCUUAUGUUAAGAACCACAUUUUUUUUGUUAACAACCAUCAUUGCUUAUGAAGAAAGCUAAACCAAUAUUAACAACUUCGAUUCCUAUUUAACAGCACCACUGAAACUCAAGUCACAAGACUUAAUUUCACAACAUUCACAAGAGGUCAUUGUAGAUUGAGGAAUAUUUCAGUCACAACUAAACACGUGAAAACCUUGACACAAGCUUAAAUUCUCAAAACAGAGUGCCUAAACAAACUUAGUCAUAUUUCAGUCAAAACAUAUUUUAAAGCUGAAUAUAAAAUUAAUAGCAAAUUUGAACACCCAUAAAAUCUUCUUUCAUUAACAUAGCCAUUGAACAAUUCAACAAUUACAAUAUGCAGAUUACAAAAAACCAAAUUAUCACCAUUACUUUCUUCCUAAAUAAACAACAUAAUGGUGCCAAAUUACUACCAUUUGCAGAGAUCCAACAAAAAAAUCACCAACAACCAAUUACAUUCCCCUGCUACUACAUUGUCAAAUUACAUUCCCCUGCUACAUAAUAAAAACAAUAACAACCAAACACAGACCCAAGAAAAAACCAAUACAAUCCCUAAAAAUUUUCCCUUUAUCUUCGUGUCACUCAUCUUGGUUUGCAAAUCCUUUUCCCUCAACUUCAAUUCAUCAACCUUCUUCAUCAAUGCUACAAUAAUCUUCUUCUGACGAAUGUUGGCAACUGGAUCGUGCCACUCAAAAUAAUUACACCCUUUCCUACCUGUAACCUACAUGCCCAAAAUAACCGAAAAGAAUCAACAAAUAAACUAUAACAUCUGGUCUACCAAAUUAUUCCUUACCUUGUAUAGACUACAACCAUAAAAAUGCCUCCCUAGAUUAUCCUCGGUCCACGAUGUCACCAGUGGAGCCUCUACGUUAGACAAACACACCACACGACUUUGGGCCUUCGAGGUGUACGAUGAGGAACUCCUUUCCAUGUCGAGGUUUACAGACGACACCCAAACACUGGGUUUUAGGGGCUACACCAAAACCUUCACCAGGACGACGAUCCAGCGACGCCGACCACCUAGCGAUGCCGGCAAUCCACCCACGAACAAAACUAGGUUUUUGCUUUGAUGACCACGAGGACAAAAUCGCUGCAGACAAUUUUAGGGUUAGGGAUUUCUCAAUUUGUGGCUUUUAGGGUUUCCUUCACCGUAAAAAAAAAUUACCACUACGGGUUAAAAAUCGCCAAUUAUUUUAAUGGCCUAUCAGACGUUGACACAUGGCAGUAAAUGUCACUGCCUAACGGUGAAUGUCUAAUUGUGGCCUGUGGGACCAACAUUGCAAGAUUUUACAAAAUAGGAGGAUGAAAUUCGUGAUUAAAAAACUGGGGGACCAAAUUCGAAACUGGAGAUAAAGUGGGGGACCAAUUUUGUAAUUUUGCCUAAACUAUAGAAGCAAAGCUUCAUGGUGAAUCAAAGGCGAUUCAAAGGUGUUUUGAUGAUAACAAUAAUGAUAACAAAAGAUGAUGACAAAGGUGAUGACAAAAAGCUCAAAGAUCAAUCAAAGAACAACUCAAGUGAAUCAAGAACAAUUCAAGAGUUCAAGAUAGAAUCAAGAAGAAUUCAAGACUCAAGAGGAAAGUUAAGAGUCAAGAAUCAAAGAUUCAAGGUUCAAGAUCUCAAGAAUCAAGAUCAAGAUUCAAGACUCAAGAUUCAAGAAUCAAGAGAAGGCUUAAUCAAGAUAAGUAUGAAAAGUUUUUCUCUAAAAUUGAGUAGCACAUGAUUUUUCUCAAAACAUGUUUACCAAAGAGUUUUACUCUCUGGUAAUCGAUUACCAGAUUGCUGUAAUCGAUUACCAGUAGCAAAAUGGAUUUGAAAAAUUUUGAAAUUGAAUUUUCAACGUUCCAAUUAAUUUCAAAAAGCUGUAAUUGAUUACAAUGUUUUGGUAAUCGAUUACUAGUGUCUUUGAACGUUGAAAUUCAAAUUCAAAUGUGAAGAGUCACAUCCUUUCGCAUAAAAGCCUUGUGUAAUCGAUUACACUGAUUUGGUAAUCGAUUACCAGUGAUUGUUUCUAAACAAAUUAAAAGAUGUAACUCUUCAAAAGGUUUUUUGACUUUUUCAAAUUGGUUUUAAGUUUUUCUAAAAGUUAUAACUCUUCUAAAUGGUCCUCUUGGCCAGACAUGAAGAGUCUAUAAAAGCAAGGCUUUGUUUUGCAUUUCAAUGAUCUUGAACACUUAUUCAAUCAAUCUUUUACAAGCCCUAAAUCUCUUUGAACUUCUUCUUCUUCUUUGUACCAAAAGCUUUCCAAAGUUUUUUGGUUUUCUAAACCUUAAAAACUUGUGCCAUUCAUUAUUUUCUUCUCUUCUCCCUUUGCCAAAAAGAAUUCGCCAAGGACUAACCGCAUGAAUUCUUUUUGUGUCUCUCUUCUCCCUUUUCCAAAAGAACAAAGGACUAACCGCCUGAAUUCUUUUGUGUCUCCCUUCUCCCUUGUCAAAGAAUUCAAAACAACACAGUCUGAGAAUUCUUUUGAUUCUACCCUUUCCCUAAUACAAAAGUGUUCAAAGGACUAACCGCCUGAGAAUUCUUUUGUAUCCCCAUUCACAAAGUCUCAAAGGUUUAACAGCCUGAGAUCUUUGUCUUAACACAUUGGAGGGUACAUCCUUUAUGGUACAAGUAGAGGGUACAUCUACUUGGGUUUGACUGAGAACAAGAGAGGGUACAUCUCUUGUGGAUCAGUUCUAGUGGAGGGUACAUCCACUAGGUUCAAAGAGAACAAGAGAGGGUACAUCCCUUAUGGAUCUUUGCUUGUAAAAGGAUUUUUACAAGGUUGAAAGAAAUCUCAAGGACCGCAGGUCGCUUGGGGACUGGAUGUAGGCACGGGUUGUUGCCGAACCAGUAUAAAAACUCUUGUGUGUUUAUCUCCUUCUUCCCUACUCUUUUAAUUUCCGCUGUGCAUUUAAUUUCCGCUUUUACUUUCUGUUAAGUUUCUCUUCUACUCCUUAUUCUCUUAACAACAUAAGUAAAAGCCUUAGAAGAGUAAAUUUUUAAUUAGUAAAGGUUUAGGAAUAAUUAAUUCAACCCCCCUUCUUAAUUAUUCUGAGGCCACUUGAUCCAACAUAAACAAAAUGGGAAAAAAGAAUUAUAAGCACUGAACAAUAUUCAAAGGUAAGGUUAACUUUCCCUUUAGGCCUUCAUCGAUCUCUCACUUACAAGAAACAAACAGUGGAGUCUAUUUUGGAUGUCCAAUACUCUAUCAUCAAUAUAGUCAUAAACACACUUACCAUGUGCGUCUUGGAACCUUCCAGUGAGGUUUUCAUAUGCUGGCAACAUGUGUAUCCUAUUGAUCUUAUUGUUUAUCCUUAGCUGCUAGCUCAUCAAGCAUAAAUCAUAUAUGUUGACUAAGCAUUGCAUAUGUCAUAAAAAGUGUCAUUGAACUUGAUGAUAUCGUAAAUUAAUUAGAUGAAGAUAUGCUAUUUUUUCAAACAAAAGUUAUUUUGAAUUUUAAAGCUUUUUCACAACACUUCUGAAUGUUUGUCUAUUGUUUAAUUUUAUCUUUCAAUGUAUAAAUUACAACAAAGGUCACAGAACGUAAAUUUUAGUAUUCUAGUAGAAGUUUACACUGUUAAUCAAAAAAGAAAAUCUGGGUAGAUGACCAAUUUUUAAGUUAAGACAUCAUUAUUUUACCGGUAUUAUAUAUGAUAAUGAUAUAGCAUUGAGCUAUGUUAAAAUACAGCUAUGUUAAAACUUUUCUUCUUUAUCAACCAUCGUGCCAAACAAACCAUUCCAAUCCCGAAGUGUCAUAUCAGUAUAAUCCAACACAUCAGGGCUAAUCCGAUGAAGCCUGCCACAAGGAACAGUGAUUUUCUCAUAAGAUAGAUACACAAGACCCCCAAAUUUCCCAAACUCUUCAGAAUCCUGAACCAAUCUAUUCUAGGUAAUUCAGGGUAAAUGUCCAAACUCAUCAGAGAUCCGAAUCUAUCUAUUCUGGGUAAUGAACGUGAAAUGUCCAAACUCUUCUGAAAAUCAAACCAAUCAGCUUCGGGUAAUGCAGGGUAACUGCCCUCUAUUCUGGGUAAUGCAGGGUACUUGUCCUAGAAACUACACCACGAUAUGAUUGCCUUGUUGUGAUUAAGUGAAUAGGAAUCCUAGAUCCUCGUGUUCUGUAAUAAAAGAUUCAAGCAAAUCCUCUUGAAUAACACUAAAACUGGUUGGCAGUGAUUCUGAAUGCGAACCAAAUUCUUACUACAUGACCCUGGUCUUUGAAUUCAUGAUACCUACUUUUUUAGAGCAUCCACUACAUGACUUUGGCCUUGGAAUUCAUGAUAAGCAUCCGAAUUGGAACAAAAGAAUAAUGAGAGAAUAAUUGAAAAUUCAUCUAAUAAUGAAUAACCAUAAUUUAAUUUGGAUGAGUUGUAAUGUUAGAACUCCCCUGAAAAAGUACAUGAGAUCAAUCUUAAAUCCCAAGUUACUCAGUCUUGUCAAGGCUAAAGACAUAGUAGCAAAUGCAGCACUAGAAAACCAAGCUAUAUGCAUCAGGUGUCCUUUUCACUUCUUUAUCAGAGAAAACGGAGUACACAGAAGUGAUAAUCAAAAUAAAAAAGUCCACAUGUGAUUCCAGCCGGGGAGAGCUGGAGCGCGCCUUUGCGAACAAGAUGACAAGGCAGAUGUAAGGAGAUAUCUGAAUAUGCAUUUGAUUUUGCAUUGCACAAAUUUGAACAAAUUCUUUUUACAUACAUUUGAGAUGUGAAGAUGAGACUUCAUUAUAUACAGCUAGAUGUAACUACUUUAGCUAUAAAGAUGGAGUUUUUUAUAACAACCUAUAGGAAGUUAUUUUCCUCUAUCCUUUACAUCCCCCGCAAACUGAUAGUGGGUAAUUGAUAAACAUUCAGUUUGGGUCGAAGGCUCAAAAAAGUACUACUUGAGGGAGCCUCGGUUAGAAGAUCAGCUACUUGAAAUUAUGAGCGUAUGUGCUUGACAACUAUUUCUCCAUUUGCAGCCUUUUCACGGACAAACCAGAGGUCCACUUCAAAAUGUGUUGAUUUUGAAUGCAACACUGUAUUAGCUGUUAUCAUUACAACACCAUGAUUAUCAAACCACAAUAAAGGAGGCUUUGUUUGGAUGAUAUGCAAUUCAGUAAGAAGGGACUUGAGCCAUUUAAUUUCGGCAAUUAGAGCUGCUAAGCUUCAUAAUUCUGCUUCAGUGCUAGACCUAGAAACUGACUGUUACUUCUUCACAAGCUAGGACACAAGAUUAUUUCCCAGAUAAACAUAGAAUCUUGAGGUGGACCUCAUAUCAGAGGAGUCACAAGCCUAAUCUGAAUCACUAUAGCCAGUCAUAAAAAGAUUCUGUGAAGGAUAAAAUGCUAAACCAUGAUCAAUAGUACCAUUGAGAUAUCGCAGAACACGUUUUGUAGCUUUGCAAUGACAUUCAAGAGGGCUAUGCAUAAACUGACAUAGUUUAUUGACUGCAUAAGCUAUGUCUGGACGUGUUAUGGUGGCAUAUUGCAAUGCUCCAACCACAGAUUUGUAUAAAGUUGGAUUAGAAAAGGAAUUAGUACCAUCCAUAUGCAGUUUCGAACCAGGGGCUAGAGGAGUCUUUAUGGGUUUUGCAUUAUGCAUGUUGACUUUGGAUAAAAGAUCAGUUAUGUAUUUGGAUUAAGAGAGGAGAAGAGCACCAGUAGUAGUGUGUUUGGCUUCAAUGCCUAAGAAAAAGUGUAAGGUACCAAGGUCUUUGAGAGGAUACAGAGAGUGGAGUUUGGAAAUCAUAGACUGGAUUUUAGAGUUUGAGUUGCCUGUUAUUAUGAUAUUUGGACUGAGAGAGGAGAAGAGCACCAGUAGUAGUGUGUUUGGCUUCAAUGCCAAAGAAAAAGUGUAAGGUACCAAGGUCUUUGAGAGGAUACAGAAAGUGGAGUUUAGAAAUCACAGACUGGAUUUCGGAGUUUGAGUUGCCUGUUAUUAUGAUAUCAUCAACAUAUAUCAGAAUGUAUGUGAUGAAUUUUGGUGUAGCCUGCACAAAAAGAGAUGUAUCACACCUAGCUGGCUUAAAACCAAAGGAAAUUAGACUGGAUGCCAGCUUGGAAAACCAAGCUCUUGGUGCCUGCUUAAGCCUAUAGAGAGAUUUCUUCAAUUUACAGACAAGAUGAGGAUUGGCAAAGACGAAGCCCUCUGGUUGCUGCAUAUAUACUUCUUCUUGAAUGGAACCAUUUAGGAAAACAUUGUUAAUGUCUACGUGUCGUAUAUACCAUUUUCUGGUGACAACAAUGCUCAAGACCGUUUGAAUGGUUGUUGGUUUAAUAACAGGACUGAAUGUCUCAUUAUAAUCAAGGCCUGGUCGUUGAGAAUACCCCUAAGCCACUAGUCUAGCUUUAUGUCUGGCUACAGAGCCAUCAACAUUGUAUUUCAGCCGAUAUAUCCAUUUAGAACCAAUAGCCUUCCUAUGAGGAGGCAAAGGGACGAGAUCCCAUGUUUUAUUUUGCAUGAGAGCCAUGUAUUCAUCCUUCAUUGCAGCUAACCAUUGAGGAUCUUGCAUAGCAUCCUUGGUACAUCUGGGAGUGAUCUUUUUCAGUAAAGCUUUGGGUUUAAAGACACCAGAUUUAGCUCGAGUAGUCAUAGGGUGAGCAUUGGUUGUAGGAGUAGGGUGAGGAGGUUGUUCAGGGAUAGAGUUGAUAGGGCCAGGAAUAGUAGGUGAAGUGGUAAUAGGAUUAGUUAAGGGAGUUGUGAUUUCAGCUGGUGUUUGAUUCGGAGGAAUGGUAGUAUUGAUUUUUGGUAUAGAGGGAGGGAGAGUAGAGAGAGUGGAGGGAACAAACGUAUUUUGAGCAAAAAGGAUGGGUUUGUUAUCAGAGGAUAUUGGGUUUCAUCAAAUAUGAUGUGCCUGACAGUGUACUCCUUUCCAGAGUUAGUGAUACAUUUAUAGCCUUUGUAUUUAGUGUUGUAGCCAAGGAAUAUGCAGGGGGUGGAUCGAAAAUCAAGUUUGGUUUUGGUGUAGGGUCGUAAAUAAGGAUAGAAAAGACACCCAAACGAUUUGAAAAUGGAGUAGUCAGGGGUUUUGUGAAAAAGAACCUCAAAGGGGGGCUUGUAGUUGAUCACCAGAGAGGGUAUGCGAUUGAUGAUGAAGGUGGCAGUGCUAAAUGCUUCUACCCAGAAUUUUGAAGGAAGGGAGGAAGCAGCUAACAAGGUGAGACCUGUUUCAGUCAAAUGGCGAUGUUUCCUUUCUGGGGCACCAUUCUGCUCAUGUGUAUGAGGACAUGAGAUGCGGUGUUGUAUUCCAUGAUCUGCAAGGUACUUAGUCAGCGCAAGGUACUCCUUGGCACCAUCAGUUUGCAGAGCUUUGAUCUUGGUAUUGAGUUGUAACUCUACCAUUGUUUUGAAUUGAAUGAAGACUGAUGGAACUUCUGACCUGUCUUGUAAAAAAUACAGCCAAGUGAAUUUACUAUGAGCAUCCAUAAACAGAAUAUAGUAUCUAUAGCCUUCUUUUGAAGGUAUGGGAGAGGAAUCCCAUAUAUCAGUGUAAAUCAAAUCAAGGGGAUAGUGAUAAAUGGAAUCAGAAACUAGAAAUGGUAAUUUAUGCACUUUGCCAAGACAACAUGCUUGGCACACUGAUUUAUUUUUUUCAGAACAUGGAAUACGACAAAGUUCAAGACAUAUUUGACAAUUUUAUUUGAACAAUGACCUAGCCUUCUAUGUUAGGUAUCAAAAUUAUUAGCACGAACAGUAGAAUUAAAGGCAAACAUAGGAGAUUUUAAUGUUGGAGAAAUGAGCUUCAGAUCUUCAAAGACAUAGAGUUUAUCCUUAAGGCGGCCUUUGAGAAGAACCUACUGAGUUUCCUGACAUUUAACCACACACUUGUUAGAAUGAAAUUCAAAGAAAACACCAUUGUCCUUUGCAAAUUGGGAAACAUAGAUAAGAUUUUUGGUUAUAUCAGGAACAUAUAACAGAUUUUGUAGGGUGAAAUGAAUAUUUGGAUUUUUUGAGUAAAAAGAUGAAUGUCUAGCAUGAGAAAUGGUUAGAGCAGUACCAUCUCCCACCUGCACACGAUCACCUCCAUUGUAUUCAUUUUUUACCAUGAGAUUGCCAAGAUCAUGUGUUAGAUGGUGGGUAGCACCGGUGUUCGGAUACCAAGAAUCAUCUAUGUGAUUUGUAGAGGCUGCAAGCAUAGCCUGAGCAGAGUGGUUGUUGGAGUCAUCAUUUUGGCUUUGGGUCGCAUGUAAGGUUGGUGCAGUGAGAUUUUCAUCAAAGCGAUACCAACAGUGAAACACAGAAUGAGCAACACGGCCACAAAGUUGACAUUGGAGCUUUGGACCACGACCUUGUGUGGAAAAGAUAGGGUUAUAUCUGUCAUCGCAUCCUCUGCCAUGAUUUCCUAAUAUGCCUGGACCACGGCCACAAGGAGUGUUGGGAAACCCUCUUCUUGAUUGAUUUUGACAAUGGACAGUGUGUGCUUGAAUAGGGGUGGUGUCCCUUUGUUUAUGAUGCUCCAAUCUUUCUUCUUGGUGCAUGAGAGAGGCUUUGAUUUGAGGAACAGUGAAAGGUUCGGAUCGGGUGAGACACGAAGAGAUGAGCCCAUCGUACUCCUCAAGAAGACCAUCAAAGAUCGCAUCAAUGUGUUCUUCAUCUGUUAAGGGAGAGCCGAUUGCACCAAGGGUUUUGACAAUCUUCUUGAUUUGGACCAAAUACUCGUUGAUUGAUCCAUGUUUCUUGAUGUUUCGAAGUUGAAUGCGAAGUUACUUGAUUCACGCUUUCAUUUGUGAAGAAAAAUAGGUUUUUAGAAUGGCCCAAAUUUCAUGCGACUAGACGCAGCCAACAAUGCGAACACGAAAUUGAUUAUCCAUCGAUUCCAAAAGCCAAUAUUUGAGAAGAUUAUCCUGCUGCUCGAAAUUAUCAUAGGCGGGAUUGACGAAAUCUUUCACCUCAUCUUCGUUGUUGAGAAACUUCGGGGGAAUUGUGUGACCCCCAGCGAUAUGCUGUUUCAAGCGGUAUCCUUUGAUGGUUGAUUCGAAUAUGCAUUUGAUUUUGCAUUGCACAAAUUUGCACAAAUUCUUUUUGCAUACAUUUGAGAUGUGAAGAUGAGAAUUCUUUAUAUACAGCUAGAUGUAACUACUUUAGCUAUAAAGAUGAAGUUUGUUAUAACAGCCUAUAGGAAGUUAUUUUCCUCUAUCCUUUACAGCAGAUAAAGAAACUAAAUACAAUAUAAAGUAAUAUCUUCCACCAGGUCCAUUUUGCUAAUAAAUGAUCGAAAGAGGAGAUGAAAGUGUAACAGUGCAGUCCAACAACAGAUGAAAAGAAACAUACAAAUCUCCAUACCUUCGGACUUCAGCUUUUGCAGCCAUUUGAUGGCCAUGAGUACCAUGUUCUUUCUCAAGCAAGCAAGGUUUGCAUUCAGGAACAGAGAAUCUGAUAGCCACCAGUUUUGACUUCGGAUCAACCCUUCACAUUUGAUAGACAUUUCAAUGAAAAGGAAGGGAAAACUACAUUUCUAUUAAAAAUUGGGGGUGGUGGUUGGAAAUGUGUACAUUUGUAAGUUUCUUGUGUAUUUUCCCUUCCCUAAAGAAUCUUCUGACAUAGUUAAUUAAAAUAUCAUGUAACUUUCAUCGUAAUUAACUCUCCUGAAGUUUGAACAAUUUUAUUUACAACAAGAUUUUGUAUUAUGUUAUUUUGUUUUUCAUGCCUUUUGUUCUACUUGAAUUCAGUAACCACCAUUCUCAGUGGACGGCCAUGUAAUCUACUUAGAUACCAAAUAUCUAGGGGAUUUAAAUAAGGUAAGAGAAAGACUUUUUUCUCUUAGUCAAAAGAUAAAGGUAUAAUCCUAAUAUCAGAAAGUAUUUUUUAUUAGAUGAAAGAUAAGAUAAAUAUAAUAUUUUCCUAUUUACAUUAUCUUGAAGAAGAAAAUUGAGAUUAGAUAAUCGAAUCUCUCUCUGUGUAUAUGAGACCAUUGAUACUCAAGUAAAAUAUUUUGAUUCCAACUGAUAUACUAUUGUGUGCAUACCUCUGUGCCUCUAACUUUAGUGUUAGAGUGUCUUUGUAAGUAUUCCCCCCUCCCUCACCGUGAGCAACCUCUUGUCAAAUCCGGUAAGAACAUUUGACACCCAUCGUGAGACGAGGGAAAACUUUUCCUUCGACCACAUUAUCAUCAAUGCUGCAAAUGGUGACAACACCUCUGUAGCCAACCAGAGACUACCACCACUGGGGCAGGCGGCCAACUUGUUUGGCAUGCCCGCCAUAGGAACCCCUGAAAAUGAGAUCCCAACAACCAUGGUGAAGAUCCUGUGUCAGGUGCUUAACGAUCAUUCCUUGAUCGUCAUCUUGCAAAAAGAGAUGAAUGCCAUGAAGCAACAGAAUACUCAAGAGGUGGAAUACCUCCAAAAGGAGAAUGUUGUCCUUCGGGAACAAUACUAGAAGCUCUCACAGGACAACAACAUGCAUUUGAUCUCGGUAGCUGGCCCCCAUAAGACUCAUAUGCCUAAGAUCGAUGAAGUCGACAAGACGUAGAGGGAAAGAACUCUAUCGGUCACUCAGUUGGUCCAUAGAGUGGAGCAUCGGCUCCACCCUUUUGUAGAUGACAUCAUGUAAACACCUCUACCACCUGAAUGUAAAAUGUUGACAAUGGAUAAAUACGACGGACUCUCAAACCUGGAUGAACACGUUGAUACAUUUGUCACCCAGAUGAACCUAUUCACGAAUGAUGGCGCCAUCAUGUCCCGAGUAUUCCCGAUAACCCCAAGGGGAGCAACACUUCAUUGGUAUACCUAUCUACUGAAAAACUUGAUAGACUCCUUGCAAUGCAGAUUACACGUUUCGGAGCCCAAGAUGCAACAAGCCGCUUGUACCACCUGACUGUAGUGGCACUUGCAAACAUUCAGCAAGACGAGGAAGAGUCACUCAGCGACUUCAUGGAGAGAACUACAAUUUUUUUUAAAAAAAAACGUGAAUUUGAAUAGCCAAUUGAUAAUCUUUGAUCCCAGCUUCUCCAUCAUUCUCAACUAUGGGCAAUUUGACAUAUUGUUAGUUCUUGUUGAGACCAUUAUGUUGAUGGUUUUAAAAUUCCAGCUUAUUGUCUCAUAUGAACAUGUUGAGUUAAUCUUUUAUGUUCAUCAAACAUUCCUUAAGCUUUUUAAAUGAAUUAAGGAACCAUCGACAGUCGAGGCUAUUCAUUGACGUUUACAAUAAGUGACUUAAAGUGACAUCAUUUCAAAACAAAUCCAAAAUUUCCAAGUUAGAGGAGGCAAAGGAAAACAUGAAGCUUUAAGGAUAAAGGAAAUGUUGCGGUAUAAUUGAUGUCUGAUUUCAGAGUAAUAUAGGUUUUGUCCUAUUGUCUUUGACGCUUGUGGAUAUUAUAAAUUGCAAUUUAAAAUGGUAGCAAGUUCACUUCCUAAGAAUUUUCUGUUUCAGGUUUUAAUAACUCUUACUAAAAGGGAUUUCUCUGAGGCGUGUUUUGUAUUGUGGGCAAAGUUUUAAAAUUUUAACUCCGUUGUUCAUCAAUUUCUAGCUCAUAACAAAUUGAAGGCCUUAGCUAAACAUACAUAGCGUACAUAUUAAUUUACAACACAUAAAAUAUGAAACAAAAAGCAGUGGACUUUUGAACUCCAUAUGGCUUAUAUUAUAGAGCUAUAUGCCGAUAUCAAUAAUUUUAACCAAUAAUCUCAGCUUUUUCUUCCCUAAACUUAUGCAUUUUUAUGAUAAACAGAGACAUUUAUUGUGACACCCUCUACCCUCACAAAUAUAAAUAAAUAACUAAAUAAAUCAUACAAAAUUUAUUUAAAAGUUUAUAAACACAUAAUAAUAAAAGAAGAAAAAAACAUGCAAAAUUAAUUAAUAAUUUUUUUUAAACACAUUUAAUUUAAAUCAAUUCAAAAGGAUAAAAGGUUUACAUCCACUUAGUGAAAACAUAAUAGAAUUUUUUUUUGAAUAAAAGAUAAAAUUAUCCCGACUCAAAACAAGUCCGUCCAUUCUAAAUAAAUAAUAAAAAAAAACUAAAAUAGAAAAGUAUAACACAAUUAUAUCAUUCAGUAAAUCAUAACAUGCGAAGUAAAAUCCUAUGCCACAAUGUCACACUUAUCAGAGCAUAUCCCUAUCACAGACUAAGUCUCUCCAUCUUUAGCAUGUGACUCAUCAUAUGAAGGCUCACCUGAAACAAAGUGGCAAUCAGCCCAAACACAAACACACACCGGGAGUGAGUUAUCACAUUCGUAUAUAAUAAAACAUUAGAGCAUGUGAAACAUAUAAUACUUAAAGCUGAAUUUAUAUAAAUAACAUUACUUCACAACAUCGCACACAUUAUUCACACCCAUUCAAGUUCACACACUCCAUAAAAUAACAUCAACCACAAUUGUUAACUCAAUGAAAUUCAAACACAAGCGUUAUGCAACAAUUAUACUAAGACUCAAGCCUAUAUGCAAUGUGGUAUCAUGUCAAUGAAAAACAACAUUGAGGCGCUUAGGAGUACAUGACAAGACACACCACACAAUGGGUAUACUCGGUCACUCUCAUUAAGUAACAUCAUAAGGUGACCAGUCAGGGUUACUCUGUUUUGCGAGAAUGCCCCAACCACAUGAGAUCAACAUGGGCUUAAAGGAACACUCAAACCGAGUAUCUUUACCCCCAAGGCCUAAACUCCGAAGAAUCCAUUUGGACCUCACCUUCUUGAUUCAGGUCCAACCCCUAAAAUAAUUUUUUUUUCUUUUGCACGCAAACACUGUUCAUGAGUUAUAUAAUACCCACGACCUCACUCUUAUAUUUCAAACAUAUUUAACAAAUUGUGCUACAGUUUAACGCUUCAGGAUCCUAACUAGGAAUCCUACAAUUUCCUUUAACACUGCGCAUAAAUGUUCUCUCAAGGUAAACACUGGUCGGGUUACUGUAUAACUCAACUCACAAGACAAAUAAUAGCACUAAAAAUAUCAAUCACACACUCAUUUCACAACCAUAUUUCAUGUCUACAAUUUAACAUUUCACACUUUAACUAAUUACAAAAUAUACUUAACAAUUAAAUAACUAUGUAUCAUAAUAAUAAUAACAUACAAUAUUUACCUUCAAUACUUAUAAAUUAUAUAUUAACUUAAGCGGUACAUUAACUUUUCAGCAUAAAUGUACAUCAAUAUAAAUAUAAUAUAAUAAAACAUUAACGUUAAUGUACAUAUUAUAUUAUAUAUAUAUAUAUAUAUAUAUAUAUAUAUAUAUAUAUAUAUAUAUAUAACAUAUAAAAUGUAUUAAGUAUAUAUUAAUAUAAAAUAAUCACACAAUAAUAUCAAACAUAUCAUUAAGUAAAUACAAAUUAUAUAUAACAAUAAAAUAUAUACUCAUAUUGAUUUAUAUGAACAACAUGUAUACCUAUAUACUAAACAUAUUUCAACUAAGUUACUAACAUCAAGAAAAUGCCUAAUACAGCUUUAGUUAAUUUCUUUAAAUGAUUUUAGCUAAUUCAAUUAUCCAACAAUCCCUACACAUAUGAAUUUCAUGACGAAAAAUCACCCAGGUGAAAUAAAAUAUAAAGUUUGUGAAAUAAGAGCAUCAAUAUAUAUGUACACGUAUACACUGCGGUGUGGGAAAAAAAUAAAAAUAAAAUGAACAAGAUUGAAAGGCCAAGAUAUCUGGUAUAAACAAAAUCACCAUCACACAAUUUUUAUACUAAUUAUAAAGAAUUCUAAUUCCUAAGGUACACACCUAACACAGGAACACAUCAAUUCUACAACAAACUCACAUCAGAACACCAAUUAGUUCAUCAAACACACUCAAUCCGCGAUUAAACAUAAAAACAUAAUUAAACUUCAUAAACACCCAAAAAUAACCCAAAAAUUCAUCCUCUAGGGAUCUCUACAAAUGUUCAUUCUAAUCCCCAAGUGUGAGUAACUCAUCCCUUACCUUGAUGUAGUCGCUUAAAUGUUCUCCGUUAGCAAUUGUGGCAUCUCUAGUGCUCUCUAGAGCUCCUCCUCUGAUUGCUCUGUUAGGAUUUUUGUGCGUCAGAAGAAAGGAACAAAAUGUGUUUUCUAAAAGCUGCUCUAGGUUAACAUUUGGUUUAUAUAGUGGGAAUUUAUGACCUAAAUUUUUUUACUUAUUUAUUUAUUUAUUUAUUUAUUUAUUAAAAGUUACGGCUGUUACAUUUAUUGUGCCUAAUAGAUUAAAGGUUUCUUCUUCUUUCACAAUUCAAGGUACCUCCAUUACUUGUUUUUAACUGCCACUACCUUGGUAUAGGGCAAUCCUUACAUCUUAAAUAUGUUUCUUAAAUAUGUAGUAAUAUCAUUUAUUAGAUAGUAUUUUAACAAUGGUCAAUAUAUCAUUAAUAUUAAUCAUUAUCAUUAAUACCUUGUAUAAUAAUUGUGUUAUUAGCUCAAAAAUUGGUCAUAUAUUUAGAUUUACUAAUAUUUUCUGAUUAACCGUGAAAAUUUCCACUACAAUUAGUACUAAAAUUUACCUCAGGCAUUCUUAAAUCUGAAUGCAUUGAUUUUUUUGGAAUUUAUAAAUUGUAAGACAAAAUUAAACGUGAGAGAAACAUUCUAAAGAAUGUAUGAAUGCAUGAAAGACUUAGAAAACAAAAUAGCGUAUAUGGAUCUUUUGGCUGACAAAAAAAGAAAAGAAAGAAAAAGCAUAUCUGGAUCUAAUUAAUUUUCGAAAUCUUUAAGUUGAUAAACUAAAAACAGGUUUGUAAAUAAAAGUUGUUGGUUUAAUUUGAGGAAAAAAUGUAAGAGAGAAGGGAAAAUAAUAGAGAAGAAUGUGGGUUUUAAGUUGAAACCACUGAACAAUUUUUUAUUGAAUAAAUUUCAUAUUCAAAUACAUUUAAAUAACUGUUUGAUAAUUCAAAAACAGAAUCAAAAAAUAAUUUAAAAUUCAAAAUCAACUUAUUCACUAAUAGCACAAUAACAAAUUCUUAUCAAUUGAAUAGUUCAAAUUAAAAAUAAAAAAGUCUUGACAACAUCUAAGGCAUGUUCAACAACACUCCUUUCUUUGUCAGAAAUUCCUUUCUUCUUCAUAAAUUCAACAUGUUGAUUUACAUUGCUAAAAAACUAUUGCUUCCUUCACAUGUGAUUGAGUCUUGACAUUUUCAGCUUUUAGGUUCUUAGACUUUAAACUUUGCUCAUUCUGCUCAAUUAUUUCAUCAUUCUCUCUCAAGUGUAUCUUCUUAUUUGUAUGCUCUUGUGCAAUAGUUAUAAUUUUUUCUUUAGUUGAACUACUUUGGAACUUAGGGGCUGCUAUUUUAGAAUUUGUUUGUUUUUCUUUAGCUUUUGUGAGACAAUUCAGUGAUAUUUUCUUUUAUUGAAAAAAUAAUUUGUUCAUUCUCCAAUGGAUUUAAAGCAAAAAUUUUCCAUCUCACUUUUACUUUGAGAAUAUCCUUGUUUUAAAAUUUACAAUAUGUUUAUAUGCUCUCUCCUACUCCCAAAUUCGUUCUCUCUUCUUUCUCUCUAAAACCCUAUCGUUUUCUUGCAUACACCAAAACCUAUUCUUGUAAAACUAUAAUAUUGGACUAGUUAACCGUUAGAUUGUCCUUAAAUUUGGACACCAACUUAGGAACUCAUUCUGUUGGGAUUUGUGAAAUAAUGUCUUUAGAGAGGGAAAUGUCCCUCGUGUGACACCCUCUGAUACCACUAAAUGUGACACUCUCUACCCUUACAAUUAUAACUAACUAAUUAAAUAAAUAAUACAAAAUUUAUUUAAAAGAUUAUAAACACAUAAUAAUAAAAGAAGGAAAAAAAAACAUGCAAAAUUAAUUAAUAAUUUUUCUUUUUAAACACAUUUAAUUUAAAUCAAUUCAAAAGGAUAAAGGUUCACAUCCACUUAGUGAAAACAUAAUAGAUUUUUUUUUUAAUAAAAGGUAAGAUUAUCCCGGCUCAAAACAAGGUCGUCCACUCUAAAUAAAUAAUAAAAAGAAACUAAAGUAAAAAAGUAUAACGCAAUUAUAUUAUUCAGUAAAUCAUAACAUGUGAAAAUCAUAAUAUGCGAAGUAAAAUCCUAUGCCCCAAUGUCACACUUAUCAGAGCAUAUCCCUAUCACAGACUAAUUCUCUCCAUCUCUAGCAUAUGACUCAUCAUAUGAGGGCUCACCUGAAACAAAGUGGCAAUCAGCCCAAACACAAACACACAUCGGGAGUGAGUUAUCACAUUCGUAUAUAAUAAAACAUUAGAGCAUCUGAAACAUAUAAUACUUAAAGCUGAAUUUAUAUAAAUAACAUUACUGCACAAAAUUGCACACAUUAUUCUCACCCAUUCAAGUUUACACACUCCAUAAAAUAACAUCAACCACAAUUGUUAACUCAAUGAAAUUCAAACACAAGCGUUAUGCAACAACAAUUAUACUAAGACUCAAGCCUAUAUGCAAUGUGGUACCAUGUCAGUGAAAAACAACACUGGGGCGCUUAGGAGUACAUGACAAAGCACACCACACAAUGGGUAUACUCGGUCACUCUCACUAAGUAACAUCAUAAGGUGACCAGUCAGGGUUACUCUAUUUUGCGAGAAUGCCCCAACCACAUGGGAUCAACAUGGGCUUAAAGGAGCACUCAAACCGAGUAUCUUUACCCCCAAGGCCUAGACUCUGAAGAAUCCAUUUGGGCCUCACCUUCCUGAUUCAGGUCCAACCCCUAAAAUAUUUUUUUUUUUGCACGUAGACACUGUUUAUGAGUUAUAUAAUACCCACGACCUCACACUUAUAUUUCAAACAUAUUUAACAAAUUGCGCUAUAGUUUAACCCUUCAGGAUCCUAACUAGGAAUCCAAUAAUUUCCUUUAACACUGCGCAUAAAAGUUCUCUCAAGGUAACACUGGUCGGGUUACUGUAUAACUCAUAACUCACAUGACAAGUAAUAUCACUACAAAUAUCAAUCACACACUCAUUCACAACCAUAUUUCAUGUCUAGAGUUUAACAUUUCACACUUUAACUAAUUACAAAAUAUAUUCAACAAUUAAAUAACAAUAUAUCAUAACAAUAAUAACAUACAAUAUUUAACUUCAAGGCUUAUAAACAGAUAACUAUAAAAUACACGUAAAAUAUAAAUAUAUAUAUAUAUAUAUAUAUAUAUAUAACAUAUAAAAAGUAUUAAAUAUAUAUUAAUAUAAAAUAAUCACAUUAAUAUCAAAUAUAUCAUUAAGUAAAUACAAAUUAUAUAUAACAAUAAAAUAUAUACUCUUAUUGAUUUCUAUGAACAACAUGUAUACCUAUAUUCUAAAUAUAUUUCAACUAAGUUACCAACAUCAAGAAAAUGCCUAAUUACAACAUGAAUACAACUUUAGUUAAUUUCUUUAAAUGAUUUUAGCCAGUUCAAUUAUCCAACAAUCCCUACACAUGAAUUUCAUGAUGAGAAAUCACCUACAUGAAAUAAAAUAUAAAGUUUGUAAAAAAAAAAAAAAGCAGUAUCAAUAUAUAUGUACACGUAUACACUGCGGUGCGAAAAAAAAUAAAAUAAAAAAAUAAAAAGAACAAGAUUGAAAGGCCAACAUAUCUGGUAUAAACAAAAUCACCACCACACAAUUUUUAUGCUAAUUAUAAAGAAUUCUAAUUUCUAAGGUACACACCUAACACAGGAACACAUCAAUUCUACAACAAACUCGCAAUAGAACACCAAUUGGUUCAUCAAACACACUCAAUCCGCGAUUAAACAUGAAAACAUAAUUAAAUUCAUAAACACUCCAAAAUAACCCAAAAAUUGAUCCUCUAGGGAUCCAUACACAUGUUCAUUCUAAUUCUCAAGCGUGAGUAACUCAUCCCUUACCUCGAUGUAGUCGCUUAAAUAUUCUCUGUUAGCAAUGGUGGCGUCUCUGGUGCUCUCUAGAGCUCUUCCUCUGGUUGCUCUAUUAGGGUUCUUGUGCGUCAGAAAAGAAGAAAGGAACAAAAUGUGUUUUCUAAAAAGCUGCUCUAGGUUAACAUUUGGCUUAUAUAGUGGGAAUUUAUGACCUAAUAAUUUUUUAUUUUAUUUUUACUUAUUUAUUUAUUUAUUAAUUUAUUAAUUUCUUAUUUACUUAUUAAAGUUACGGCUGUUACAAUUCCACCCCCCCUUAAAAAAAAGUUUUGCCCCUGAAACUUACCGGUAUCGAAUAAGGUAGGAUAUGCAUCACGCAUCUGACCCUCUAGUUCCCAGGUGGCAUCCUCACCCGAAGCACUUCCCCAUACUACUUUGACCAAGGGAAUCUCUUUCCCCCUUAGCUGCUUAACCAUACGAUCGUCGAUCCUCAGUGGUUGUGUUUCAUAUGUGAAGUUCUCUUUCACUUGGACAUUGUCUAAUUCGAUCACGUGCGACGGAUCAUGGACAUAUUUUCUGAGUUGAGAGAUAUGGAAGACACUGUGGAGAUUUGAGAGAGAUGGUGGCAAAGCCACUUGAUACGCAAUUGGGCCGACACGCUUUAGGAUUUCAAAGGGACCAAUGAAUCUAGGUGUGAGCUUACGGGACUUCAACGCCCUACCAACCCCAGUCCACGGAGUGACUCUCAGAAAUACAUGAUCACCUAUAGCAAAUUCAAGAUCCUUUCUUCUCUUAUCAUAGUAGCUCUUCUGCCUACUUUGGGCUGCUCUCAUCCUUUCUUGGAUCAACUUGACCUUUUCAGUGGUCUGCUGAACUACCUCAGGUCCUAAGGUAAUGCUCUCACUGGAAUCUACCCAACAUAAAGGUGUCCUACAUCUUCUACCAUACAAUGCCUCGUAAGGCGCCAUACCUAUACUAGAGUGAAAACUAUUGUUGUAUGUAAACUCUAUCAAGGGUAAGAAACUAUCCCAACUACCCCUCUGCUCUAACACACAGGUUCUCAAGAGGUCCUCUAAGGAUUGGAUGGUGCGCUCGGUUUGACCGUCAGUCUGUGGGUGGUAAGCAGAACUCAACCUAAGCUUGGUCCCCAAGGCUUUAUGAAGACUCUCCCAAAAUCUAGAGGUAAAUCUGGGAUCUCUAUCAGAGACUAUGCUAGAAGGAACACCGUGUAGUCUAACUAUCUCACUGACGUAAAAGCUAGUCAACCUCUCUAAAGAAUAUCUGAUGUUAAUUGGAAUGAAGUGAGCAGAUUUGGUCAACCUGACUACAAUAACCCAAAUGGAAUCUAAACCUUUGGGGGUUCUAGGUAACCCCACCACGAAAUCCAUGGAGAUGCUAUCCCACUUCCACUCAGGUACCUCUAAAGGUUGCAACUUCCCUGAAGGCUUAUGGUGUUCUAUCUUAGCUUUCUGACACACUAGGCAUGCAAGGACAAACUCAUUAACUUCUUUCUUCAGACCUGGCCACCAAAAAAUCUGCCUAAGGUCUUGGUACAUCUUAGUCGCUCCCGGGUGGAUACUCAGACUACUUCUAUGGCCCUCUUCCAAAAUCGUUCUUCUAAGUUUGGGUACACUAGGAACACACACCCUAUCUUGAAACCUCAAGACUCCAUCAGUUCCCACUCUAAAACUACUCUCUCUCCUUGUGACUAUGGACUCUAACUGGGCUGACAAGAAUGGGUCAGACUUCUGACCCUCACGGAUCUCGCUCAAGAGUUCGCUGGGGACUCUCAACAUACCCAACUUAAUGCUACUAGAGGUGAUCUCACAUGUCAAACUCAUGUCUCUAAACUGCUCUAAGAGGUCCAACUCUCUAACCAUCAAAGCAGACAUUUGAAGGGAUUUCCUACUUAAGGCAUCUACUACUACAUUGGCUUUACUUGGGUGAUAGCUAAGCUCAAAAUCGUAAUCCUUAAGGAACUCUAACCAUCUCCUCUGCCUCAUGUUAAGCUCUUUUUGAUCAAACAAAUAUCUAAGGCUCUUAUGGUCACUAAACACCUCAAAUUUAGAUCCAUAAAGGUAAUGCCUCCAAAGCUUAAGAGCAAAAACUACGGCUGCUAACUCAAGAUCGUGUGUAGGAUAAUUUCUUUCAUGUAUCUUAAGCUGUCGAGAAGCAUAGGCCACUACCUGUCCCCGUUGCAUAAGCACUCCACCCAAACCCAUCUUGGACACAUCACAAUACACCACAAAAGGUUCACUCGGGUCAGGUAACACUAAAACUGGUGUAGUGGUUAACCUUUCCUUAAGGGUACAGAAACUUCUCUCACACUGGGCAUCCCACACAAAAACUUGACCCUUACAAGUAAGAUUAGUCAAAGGUAAGGCAAGCUUAGAAAAACCCUCUAUGAAUCUACGAUAGUAUCCUGCUAAGCCAAGAAAGCUUCUAAUCUCAAACAUUGACUUAGGACUCUCCCAACUCAUCACCGCCUCUACCUUGGAAGGAUCUACUGCUAUCCCUCCCUUAGAUAUAAUGUGCCCUAAGAAGCUCACCUCCUCUAGCCAAAAAUCACACUUGGACAACUUAGCAUACAGUCUAUUGUCUUUAAGGGUUUGCAACACAACUCUCAAAUGCUCCUCAUGUUCCUCUCUAGUCUUAGAAUACACUAAGAUAUCAUCUAUGAAGACCACUACAAAACUAUCUAGGUAGGGGUGAAAGAUCCUAUUCAUAUAAUCCAUGAACACACCAGGGGCGUUGGUCACACCAAAAGGCAUAACCAAGUACUCAUAAUGACCGUAACGGGUCCUAAAGGCAGUCUUCGAAACAUCUUCAGGCUUCACUCUAAUCUGGUGGUAACCUGACCUAAGAUCUAUCUUACUGAACACACAAGCCCCUACUAAUUGGUCCAUCAAGUCAUCUAUCCUAGGCAAAGGGUACCUAUUCUUAAUCGUUACCUUAUUCAACUGACGAUAAUCUACACAUAGCCUCAUGGUCCCAUCCUUCUUCUUAACUAACAACACCGGUGCUCCCUAGGGUGACACACUAGGCCUCACAAACUGUUUCUCUAAGAGUUCCUCUAACUGUUUCUUAAGCUCACUUAACUCUACAGGGGACAUCCUAUAAGGUGCUAUGGAUAUGGGUCAAGUACCGGGCACUAGGUCUAUCGAGAACUCGACCUCUCUCUCAGGUGGUAAUCCUGACACCUCCUCAAACACCUCUGGAAACUCUCUCACCAAUGGUAUAUCACUCACAGGGGUUUUGGUCUCAACACUCAUACUAGCUAAGAUCAUGUAUACCUGUGCAUCCUCCCUUAAAGAUGCCUCAACUUGGUUAGCAGACAAAAACAUAUCACCUUCACUCACACCAGACUCAGGAAAGACAAUAGAUUUCUCAAAACAAUUUAAUAAGACAUGAUUGGAAGAUAACCAGUCCAUACCAAGAAUAACAUCAAUCUGACUCAAAGGUAGAACAACUAAGUCAAUAAGAAAUUGUCUAUCAGAAAUUAAGACAGGACAUUGCAAACACACAUCAGAAGUUAAAACAGACCCACUAGUAGGUGUAUUCACAAUCAUGUCAAAUUUCAAGGAAGACAUAGGCAAGGCAAGUUUUUCAACACAGACACGAGAAAUAAAUGAAUGGGUCGCACCUGAAUCAUACAAUACAACCAAGGGAACUUGACUUAUGAAACACAUACCUUGGAUGAGUUCAUCAGACUGUGCGGCAUCAGCACCACUAAGAGCAAACACUCUCCCUGUGGUCCUUGGUCGUCCACUUUGGUUAUUCAGACUUCCACUCCUCUUCUCCCUCCUCGGAUAUGGGCAACUGGUACUGAGGUGGCCCUUACCUUGGUAGUUAAAGCAAGUCACCUCUCUAUCUGUGCACUCACGAGCAAUAUGCCCAAGUCGACCACAUUUCCCACACCUGAGUGGUGUAGUAACAAUAGCAGGAGCACCACUACCACCACUACUUCUACCCGCAGACUGAGACACCCUGUUAAUUGGCUGAGAACUCCCACCAACUAGUUGAAGUCCUCCACUGGUCCUCUGUCCUCCAGAAUGGUUUCCAUAUUUCCCGGGAGGGGCAGAAUAUGGCUUAGCACGAUUGUGAGUCACAAGCUUCUUAUCUUUCCCAUGACUAGCAUUGGCAUUCCUGUAAAAAGCAAUCUUCUCCCGCUGAUCUUCAUCAAAGAUUCUACACAUGUUGGUCAACUGUGCAAAGUUAUGAAUACCGUGAUAAUUUACAAUCAUCUUUACUUCUGGUCGAAGGCCAUUGACAAAUUUCACGCAUUUGGACCUCUCCCCAGCUUCCCCCUGAUAAUGAGGAAAAUACCUUACAAGGUUCUCAAACCUCGCCGCACACUCUGCCACCAUCAUACUUUCCUGUUUCAGCUCGAGAAACUCCAUCUCCUUCCUAUUCUUCACAUCUUCUGGAAACUACUUCUCCAGAAAAUUUUGUCUGAAAGUCUCCCAUUGGACAACAACACCACCUGCUCCCUCUAAACGUCGGCGAGUGUUCUCCCACCAGUACUCCGCCUCAUCUGCUAGCAUGUGAGUAGCAAACAACACCUUCUGAUGGUCCUGACACUCCAUCACCCGGAAGAUCUUCUCAAUCUCCCUCAGCCAAGCCUCAGCACCCUCAGGAUCAUAACCCUCUUUGAAAGUAGGUGAGUUGUUCCUCUAAAAGCGAUCUAACCCAUGGUACAUAGUUGUUCCUCCACCGCCUCCCUGAUUGGCCAUAACUUGCGCCAAGUUGUUCAAGGCCUCGGUAAGAAGUCAUUCUCGCUCAUUUCUCGCAGCCAUUACUUCCUAUGUCAUGCAAGAAACAAAACUUUGAAGAAAAAAAAUAAAAAUAUACCAACGCAAUAGAGUACACCUCUAAUCAAACAAAACAAACACAACACAUCAGGGUACACAAGGAAACACAGAAAGCUCAUAACACACAUGGCCGAAAGGUUCGACCUGCUCUGAUACCACUAAAUGUGACACCCUCUACCCUUACAAUUAUAACUAACUAAUUAAAUAAAUCAUACAAAAUUUAUUUAAAAGAUUAUAAACACAUAAUAAUAAAAGAAGGAAAAAAAACAUGCAAAAUUAAUUAAUAAUUUUUCUUUUUAAACACAUUUAAUUUAAAUCAAUUCAAAAGGAUAAAGGUUCACAUCCACUUAGUGAAAACAUAAUAGAUUUUUUUUUUAAUAAAAGGUAAGAUUAUCUCGGCUCAAAACAAGGCCGUCCACUCUAAAUAAAUAAUAAAAAGAAACUAAAGUAGAAAAUUAUAACGCAAUUAUAUUAUUCAGUAAAUCAUAACAUGUGAAAAUCAUAAUAUGCGAAGUAAAAUCCUAUGCCCCAAUGUCACACUUAUCAGAGCAUAUCCCUAUCACAGACUAAUUCUCUCCAUCUCUAGCAUGUGACUCAUCAUAUGAGGGCUCACUUGAAACAAAGUGGCAAUCAGCCCAAACACAAACACACACCGGGAGUGAGUUAUCACAUUCGUAUAUAAUAAAACAUUAGAGCAUCUGAAACAUAUAAUACUUAAAGCUGAAUUUAUAUAAAUAACAUUACUGCACAAAAUCGCACACAUUAUUCACACCCAUUCAAGUUUACACACUCCAUAAAAUAACAUCAACCACAAUUGUUAACUCAAUGAAAUUCAAACACAAGCGUUAUGCAACAACAAUUAUACCAAGACUCAAGCCUAUAUGCAAUGUGGUACCAUGUCAGUGAAAAACAACAUUGGGGCGCUUAGGAGUACAUGACAAAGCACACCACACAAUGGGUAUACUCGGUCACUCUCACUAAGUAACAUCAUAAGGUGACCAGUCAGGGUUACUCUGUUUUGUGAACCACAUGAGAUCAACAUGGGCUUAAAGGAGCACUCAAACCGAGUAUCUUUACCCCCAAGGCCUAGACUCCGAAGAAUCCGUUUGGGCCUCACCUUCCUGAUUCAGGUCCAACCCCUAAAAUAUUUUUUUUUUGCACGUAGACACUGUUUAUGAGUUAUAUAAUACCCACGACCUCACACUUAUAUUUCAAACAUAUUUAACAAAUUGCGCUAUAGUUUAACCCUUCAGGAUCCUAACUAGGAAUCCUACAAUUUCCUUUAAGACUGCGCAUAAAAGUUCUCUCAAGGAAAACACUGGUCGGGUUACUGUAUAACUCAUAACUCACAUGACAAGUAAUAUCACUACAAAUAUCAAUCACACACUCAUUUACAACCAUAUUUCAUGUCUAGAGUUUAACAUUUCACACUUUAACUAAUUACAAAAUAUACUCAACAAUUAAAUAACAAUAUAUCAUAACAAUAAUAACAUACAAUAUUUAACUUCAAGGCUUAUAAACAGAUAACUAUAAAAUACACGUAAUAUAUAUAUAUAUAUAUAUAUAUAUAUAUAUAUAUAUAUAUAUAUAUAUAUAUAUAUAUAUAACAUAUAAAAAGUAUUAAAUAUAUAUUAAUAUAAAAUAAUCACAAUAAUAUCAAAUAUAUCAUUAAGUAAAUAUAAAUUAUAUAUAACAAUAAAAUAUAUACUCUUAUUGAUUUCUAUGAACAACAUGUAUACCUAUAUUCUAAAUAUAUUUCAACUAAGUUACCAACAUCAAGAAAAUGCCUAAUUACAACGUGAAUACAACUUUAGUUAAUUUCUUUAAAUGAUUUUAGUCAGUUCAAUUAUCCAACAAUCCCUACACAUAUGAAUUUCAUGACAAUCCCUACACAUAUGAAUUUCAUGACGAGAAAUCACCCACAUGAAAUAAAAUAUAAAGUUUGUAAAAAAAAAACAGUAUCAAUAUAUAUGUACACGUAUACACUGCGGUGUGAAAAAAAAUAAAAAUAAAAAUAAAAAUAAAAUAAAAAGAACAAGAUUGAAAGGCCAACAUAUCUGAUAUAAACAAAAUCACCACCACACAAUUUUUAUGCUAAUUAUAAAGAAUUCUAAUUUCUAAGGUACACACCUAACACAGGAACACAUCAAUUCUACAACAAACUCGCAACAGAACACCAAUUGGUUCAUCAAACACACUCAAUCCGCGAUUAAGCAUGAAAACAUAAUUAAAUUCAUAAACACCCCAAAAUAACCCAAAAAUUGAUCCUCUAGGGAUCCCUACACAUGUUCAUUCUAAUCCCCAAGCGUGAGUAACUCAUCCCUUACCUCGAUGUAGUCGCUUAAAUAUUCUCUGUUAGCUAUGGUGGCGUCUCUGGUGCUCUCUAGAGCUCCUCCUCUGGUUGCUCUGUUAGGGUUCUUAUGCGUCAGAAAAGAAGAAAGGAACAGAAUGUGUUUUCUAAAAAACUGCUCUAGGUUAACAUUUGGCUUAUAUAGUGGGAAUUUAUGACCUAAUAAUUUUUUAUUUUAUUUUUACUUAUUUAUUUAUUUAUUAAUUUAUUAAUUUAUUAAUUUCUUAUUUAAUUAUUAAAGUUACGGCUAUUACACCUCGCAAGGAGACAAUAAAAUUGAGGCUUCAAUCCCUUCUUUUUCUCCCUAACGUUUGUAUAUCCUAGUAGAGAAAACAUAGGGAAAACUUGAGGAAUCUCAUGGAAUCUCUAGAGACUCCACUAUUGCUGCUAGACUACACACGUGAGGCCACUUAGAUGUGACAGAUAAGUUUAUCGCAAUUGGUGUUAGAAUGAACAUGUAUAGGGAUUUUUAGAGGAUCAAAUUGAGAUUUAUUUUGGGAUGUUUAAUGUAUUAUAAUUUUGACUUUAUGAUUAUAAUCACGAGAUUAUGUUUGACGGGCUAAUUCAUGCCCUAAUGUGAAUUGGUUGAUAAAAUUAAGUAUUCUUGGUGUUUUCGUGUUUUUGAACCUGUGAUUUUAAUUCCUUUGAUUUUGAUAUGAUUAUGUGAAAUUAUUUAAGGGGUUUUACUCCCUAUGUUGUGAGAAAAAAUUGUGUAUAAUUCGUUUGUAUUUUGAACAAGAUUUACUAGAUUAACGUGAGAAUUAGAUUGUUGGAAACAUUCUUUGUCAUGUUUUGGCCUCAUAAGCUUAUUUCGUGUUGGUGAUUAUAACACACACACACACACGCACGCACACACACACACACACAUUCAAAUAAUAAAUUUAAAUUAAAGGAAAUUAAUAUAUUAAGAUUUAACGAUAAAUACCUUCAAUGCAUUUUUAGUUUAAUUAUUUACUAACUCUUUUUAAUUGAAAAUAAUAUAGUCUGAUUUAAUAUAUACAUGUUUUGUGUCAUGUAAAUAUUAAUAUUGUGUGAUGUUUAUUUAAUUCAUGAGGUGUGAUAACAUGUUGUAUUGGAAUUAUAACAUUGUAAUUCAGAUUCGUCAUAUGUGAUAAAUUGAGUAUGUGUUGAAUUGUAAGAUACAUGUGUAUUGAGAUUUUGUGCGCAUUGAGUUAUGAGCUAUAAAUUGUUCAAUCACACAACUAUAAGAACCUUUAAGGGCAAUGAGUUAAUGCGUGAUGAGUAUUGUGAUGGGAUCUACUGUGGGAACCCGACGAGUUGAAUCACUUUAAGGCGCAACAAGUUAAAAUGAUUUUGAAAACAAUUGAGUGGUUAUGCGUAUUGCAUAGUUUUAAACUCCAGUGGCACAUGUGUGAUUUUAAAUGCCUAUUUUAAUGAUACAAUUAGUCAUAUGAACAUAACAUAUUGAUAUUAUUACUAUGUGAUAUGUAUAUGAUGCAUGAGGCGUGAUAACGUGAUGUCUUGAGAUUAUGAAAGUGUGACGAACUAUGUAUAAGUGACAAGUUGAGUAUGUGUUAAAUUAUGAGAUCACUUGUGUAUUGGGAUAUUGUGUGCAUUGAGUUGAGCUAUGAAUCGUGCAAUCACACGACUGUAUGACCCUUUAAAGGCGACGAGUUAAUACUCAAUGAAUAUUAUGAUGUGAUCCAUUGUAGAAAUCCGACGAGUUGAAUCACUUUGAGGCGUGUUAACUCAUUGGCAAGUACACCAAAUUAUCACAAAUAGUAAAAUUAAAGCAGAAGUCCAAGUGUCGAAUCCACAUGAACUUUGUUUAUACUUAAGAAGGUGAAUAUAUAAUUUUUCAAGCAAUAAAUAAAUUGAUUUAAAAGGUUGCGAAGAAAACAAUAAAUUAAAUUGGCAAAGCAUUAAAUUAAAAUAAACAAGGUAAGAAAUUAAACAUGAAUUUAAAUUAAUUAAUCAAAAAUAAAAAAGAUGAGAAAAACCAAUAUUAUAGAAGUUAAAUUCAGAAGAUGAGAAUUUUGGAAACUUAGCCUACCAGUGCUACUCUUGAUGCAAUAUUAAUGAUUUUUCUCUAAUUAUGUUUAUUCUAAUUUUACACCUGCAUCUACUCAUAUACUCUAACCAAGAUCCCUCGAGGGGAGAGCCUAACUUAUCUAUUUUUUCUCCCAAAUUCAUUUGCUGAGAUAAAAUAGUUAAAUUGCAUUAAGAGUAAAGAUGUAUUCCAAGCUAAAUAACAGUCAUAUAGGAAAUUGCUAUGCUGGAUCUAAUGUGUGCAUGCACCAUUUGUACAACAUGUGGCAAAGGCAAUACAUGAACAAUGACCAUGAUGAUUAUCGUUCUUGGAUUUAACCAAUCUUAAUAAUGGAAACAAAUUAAAGAGGAAUCCUUACAUAGCAGGGCCGUGUACAGACAUUUUGGGGCCUAAGGCGAAAAUGUUAAAGAGGUCGUUUUUUUACAAGAAUUUUGAAGAGACUUAGUAUAUUAUAUAAAAUAUCAAUUUUUAUAUUAAUCUUCUAGCAUUUUUAGCUGCAAAAUCAUUUAUCAGAGUUUUAUAAUCAAGCAAUUCUAACACUUCACUUUCACCAUUGUCAGUAUUAUCUCUAGGUGGUUGUUCUACACCGUUAUCAGUAUUAUCUAUAGGUGGUUGGUCUAUAAUAUUUUCCUCGUUGUCAGUAUGAUCUAUCAGUGGUUGUUCUAUCACAUUUUCACCUAUUGAACUUGCUUCUGCGUCAUUUUCAUGAAUAAUAACAAAUUUAUCAAGGGCACCACGUUGAGAUUCAAUUAGCUUUUCAACUUUUUGUUUUUUCUUCAAUUUUUCAUAACCAGAUUCAUACUUUCUAUUUGACAUUUUCUUUUGUAAAUAAUCAAAAUAAAAAAAUUAACUAAAUAUUAAAGAAAUCUAAAUAAACUAAACUCUAAAAUAAAUAUAGAAAAUGAUGAUCGAUGAACAGAACGAUAGAACCUGAAAUUGGAAACAGAUAGAGAUUUUGUUGUUUAGAUGUUGUGUCAGGCGCAAGGGUGCUACGUGAUACGUGUUGUAUUGCUGCGUACCCAGAGUCAUGCCCGUGAAAUGAAUCGUUCCACCAAUCCACCGAGAUGGAGAUGAAAGGCUCUGUACGUGGGACGCCGGGAUGUAUGUGGUUUAUAGGCAUUCAGAAUCCAGAGAGGUUGAGCCGCAUAGACAAAGUUUGAUCAAUAGACAAUAGGUUUCCUUCAAGUGAAGAAGAAGAAUAGAUUUUUUUUAUGAACAGAAGAUAAGGAGAUGAAAAAACGUGAAAAAUACAGUCUGGAGAGUGAGAUAUGUUAGUUAGGGAAUUGAGAUGGGUUAAAGGAAAGUUAAUAGGGAUUUACUUUUUUGGGAUAAAUAAAAUACUUUAAAUGACGAUAAUUGUAAUAUUGGUUAAUUUUUAAAAAGAUGAUAUUGAUUGACUAAUUUUUAGGGAAGAGAGAGAUUCUAAAUUAUUUUAUUUUGAUCAGUUAAAAUUUGUUAAUAGUUAGUAAUAAAAAAAAUUUAGGGACCUAAAAAAAUUUUUUUUUUGGGUCUUAGACUGAUGCCUAAUUUGCCUAAGACAUUGCAUGGCCCUGUUACACAGUUGGGAUUUUGUGUUGAGACAUACAGUGGAAUAAAUGUACGACAAUGGCACAAAUCCUUUGAGAAACAAAUUGUCUCCUUUGAAUAAAUGUACAACUAUGUUUGCAAUGAAUGAUGAUGAUAUUUUUGUAUUCUAAAUCAAUGCAAACUUGUGUCUCCUUUCCGUCUCUUCUGGCAUCAGAUUCAUCUACUCUCUUACAAGAAACAAAUUGUUGAGUCUAUCUUGAACGUCAAACAUUCCAUACUCAAUGUGCUCAUAAGCUUGGUUACCAAGAAAAUCCUGCAACCUCCCAAUGAAGUUUCCAUAUGCUGGCAACAAGAUCUUUUCUAUGGAUUCUAUUAUUUUUCUCCUUAGCUCCUCAGUGAAGACAAACCACGUAGACUGAAUGUUGCAUAUAUCGUCGAAGUGUCCGUUGAAGGAACGAAGCUUGUUUUUCAUUAACUGUGCCGCAACAUUAGGCUCUGACUCAUUGAUAUCCAGCUUCAAAAUAUCCAAGAUCUUAUUCCAUGGGUUUCUCAGAUAGAGUUGAAGGUUUUCUUUGAUACUAGUUGUGUUUUUUUUAAUCCAGUCAUUUCCAAGAAUAUGUCUCAAUCCACGCUGCAUUGCCCUUCGUUGUAUGUAGCUUCGAUUGUUGAUGAUGAAAACGUAACCCAAAAUAGGAUCAUGGUAAUUUUGGGAGUUGGCUUCCAAACUGCUGUCUAACAGGUCUGUUAUCAGUGGAAACUUUCUUUGUUCAUCAGUCAUGGGGUUCAAAGAACCUCGCCAAUCCUUAUCUAUUUUGUCAGCGUAGUCCAACACAUCAAGGGUAAUCUGAUGAACCCUGCCGCCGGGAACAAUGGCUUUCUCCUUAACACCGUAAGUAAGAGUUAACAAUUCCCCGAACUUACGUAUUCCGUGUAAUGCUGAGUAAAUGUUCAAAUCCAUCAACAACUUGUCCCGCAAUGCAGGGUAACUGGCCAAACUCUUCCGAAACCCGAACCUAUGUAUUCCGGGUAAUGCAGGGUACUUAUCCUCAAGGGGAAUGGACCCUUCAAAGACGCAUUCACAGAGUCUUCUUUCAUUGGGUAAUAGUAUCCUAUCAGCUAAGCACAAAGCUUUUAUAAAAAACUCGGUCUUAAUCGUGUUGCCAAUUUUGAGCUCUAUCAACGCUGAUAGUAUCUCACUCAGAAACUCCCUCCGCCAAGUAAUGUACACGUCAAUGCAUUCCUCCCUUAACCCUGCUGUCACCAUCAGCCUUACACAUUCACGAAGGUCAUUGAUAAUAACUGAUGGCAGAGAAUCCACCACCAAGUUGUCAUCGCAAUGCAAUUGCAGAUCUGGAGUCUGGACAAGACUAGCUUUGAGGUAUUCCUCAGCAUGCUUGAAAAUUGUUAAAAUAACAUUUUCAUUCUCCUUCUUUAGGGCCUCUAUGCAACCCAUGAACUGUGUCACAAUACUAUUGUUAUCACUAUCAUUAAUUCUUUGUUGUGAUUCAGUGACUAACAAUCCUAGAUCCUCAAUUUGUGGAGGGGAAUCAGCCUCUUGUGCCACAGAUACAAUAGCCUGGGGGGAAUCCACUUGAGUAACACUAGAACUAGGUUUAGCAUCUCUCAGAGGAGUUUUCUUUGAACCAAACAUCCUCUCUCAAUCUCUCUCUAAAAAAACAGUGAUCUUGUGUAUCAAUUUGGUCCUGGAACUUCAAAACAAGCAAAAAUCCAAAGAUCAAAUUCAAGUUCUUUAGCAUAAACCCUCCACUAAAAAUUGAAUUUUGAAAUUAAGAUGAAUCCAAAUUCAUAUCAAUUAAAGUGGAAUUACGUAAAUUGAAGUUCAAAGAAAUGUAUAAUCGCAG